UUUUGAGUGAAGUUUUGGUCAAUCCUUCUAGAAAUUUAUCUCUUCUUGCAACUUGUAUUUGUUUCACCAGAUUUUUAGCAUGUUCAUAGCCUCUUUUGUCUUCAAAUUCGUCUAUCCUCAUGCCUCCAUGCUUGCACAAUCCAAUCUUGGCCCAAAAAUGCUCUAGAAUGUUUCCAAAUUGCUUCUUUUUGCAUACUUUGACACUAAAACCUGAAAUUGCACGAAAAUAACUUUAAACACUAUAAUUAUCAUAGUUUAGCUAAUUAAAAGCAAGAAAACAAGCUAACUAAGUCGUAUAAAUAUGCUCCUAUCAUUCAUUUAUUAGCAAUACUUUGUACGAAAAUGAUUAGUUACGUUAUUACGUUAUAUAUUCACGUAAAUGAUUUCAUUUCUAGGUGAAACGUGUUGAGUGCAUAAAGUUAUACUUUUACGCCCUCUUUUACUUAGGUUUUUUACUUAAAAUCUCUAUGCAUCACAAGGUAUUUUGUUGUUUGUAUUGUAUUUCAUGAUGAAAGUAAGGGCUUGAUGAAAUCAUCUUAUUUUGAAUAUCUUAAGAGCCUAGAAAGGAUAGUUUGAAGCCCAACUCGCCCAAGACCAAACUAUAGCCCACAAGGAUCCACCAGAAAAGGCCCUUGCAGAACGGCCAACUUAUGAGCUUUGCCCCGAAGUGCUCAAAACGAAUUAGAAAAUGGGCCAUAUAUGGUUGGAAAGCCCUGGAAGUCUUCUUUCUGAUGGUCUUUACAUCUUGUGAUUUGGAGGUUUCGACAAGAAGUUAUGAUAGAAUAAAGAAAAAAUGUUUAGUUACGAAUUCUGAUAACAGCUAGUUUUCAGUUACUCAUAUACUAGAUGUUGGUUGUUAUGAGCUAUAAUGAGAGUUUCAGAUGUUAGAUAAGUCCUAAGCCUUUUAAUAGGAGACAAAUACUCAACAGAAGGAGGAGAAUCUGAAGAGAGAGCAGAAGUCUUCAACCUUGAGCCGUUUUCUAGGUUCUAGCUUUCCUGACUUUUUAUGUGUUUUGUUUUUAUGGAUACUUAGGGCUACUUUGAAGCCCUAGACAUGAUUGAAUUAAUGUUAUGAUGUAGUUUUAGUUUAUCAAUUUCAUUUGCAAGCUAGAAUUAGUUUUCUGUUUCAAUCAUUUCAAGCACAUAUUUUCAAGCUUAGAUACCUUGUUUAUGUUUGCUUUCUGUUGAGAAUGAUAAGGAUGACUACCAUAUCCUCUUUCAUUCCUUAGCAACAUAUGGUUAGGUUCAAAACUAAUCAUGUAAGCUGAUUCCAUGAAAAUCUAGGAAAAAUGCCAUGUUUUAAGGUUCAUGUGAUGUUCAUAAUCCACUUCGUUCUUAAUGAGUUUCUAGGUGCUAAAUCUGAGUAUAUGCCAUGUUAGGUUACACCUAUAAAUAUAAGUUUUAUAUAUAUGCCAUGCAUCUAACAUGCAAAUACAGUGAGGAUUCAUACAAUCUAGUUAUAUGCCAUGCUAGAUAUGUGAACAUCUUAGUUGUGCAUUUGAAAUGGAUAAGUUAAAAGACCAUCUCAUUGAUUCAUGAAUGUUUAGGGGAAGGCCCUAGCUCAUUUUAAGUCAGAUUUCAUGUCUUAGGUUUAUUUUUAAAUAGUUCUAAUUUUUCCAUUUUCUUUAUGUCUUUAUUUCUUUUCCAAAAUUACUCAAACCCCCCAUAGGAGUCUUUAACUAAUGCUAAUUUGUAAGAGUAAAAGGUUUUACUAAGUUGUUUCUCAGUCCCUGUGGUUCGACACCCUUAGUUGUGCUGCUAUACUAUCCUUAUAUUUGCACUUGAAAGGAACUUCAACAAAAUGCAUCGUAAUGAUUUUUGGUGCCUGCAAGGCGGGUUUGACCCAACGACAUGCUUUGUGAAUGGAUCUUUGCUUUUAAAUAUUAUAUAUUUACUUUAUAUUUUUUAUAAAGAAUUUUCUACGUUAUGUCUACAUUAGAUUAACGUUUAUAAGAAUUAGCGCAUUGACGGAAAUUAGGAAAUUAUGCUACGUCCUACGAGAUGCACAGGUAUGCGUAUUAUUAUGGGAUGUCUUAAUCAUAUUUACGACCAUGAAUAACAUUAUGUCGACUAGAAUUAUCUGUUUAGUGUUGCAUGAUCAUAUUUGAGCUAUUUGCUCAUCGUGUGCUACAUUAGUGUUAGUACUCGCCUAGGCCAGGGCCAGUCUUCACGUGUAUGUUCACAUCGCACCGUAUGCUCACUUUGGAUCCAUUGUCGGUGCCAAUCCAGUCCUAGAUUGCUAUAGGCAAUUAGGGCUCGUAUAUGAUGCGCAUAACGCCAGUCUUCACAUGAUUGUUGUACUAUAGCGUAAAUCAUUCUUUCACCCAGUCUUGUUCAUGUCAGAAUAUCUCUGCAUGAACUUGCGUGUCAGCAUAUGUCGAUGAGCACUCGUUAUGAUAUGUUUGUUUAUGCGAGAUUAUGUGAUUACUAGACGUUAUGUGUUCAUUUAUGAAAUAUUGUGAUGUAUUGCAUUCUUGUGAUAUUGCUGGCUACAAUAAGUAUUUCCAUAUUAUACAUAGUAUGUUAUAUUUGGAAAGUAUACUUGUUUUACGGCAAGGGGGUUAUUAUGUUUUCGAAAAGGUUUUGCAAAGGUUUUUUUUUUUUAUAGGCCCACUCACCCUUGUUUUUCGCCACUCUAGGUUUUAGUGGCAAAGCUUUCGUGUCAACGAGGAUUCUUGGCAAAUGUGGGUACAUGAGAUUACCUUCGCUGGAAUAAUUAUUAUCCUACCUUUACCUUACUUUACUUAUGCUCUGACAUCACGUGUGAAUGGGGUUCAAUCCCGCUCACAUGUACACUCUUGCAUUUAGUCACUUUUAGGUUUAAAUUUAUUCACAUUUUACACAUCCCUACACCUUAUGGCUUCGUCACCUUUAUGGUGUCUGCCAACACAACUCGAUUCGGAGUCUAGGUGGACAUUCUGGGUCGGGGUGUGUCAGUGGGUGUGCUGACCUAUUACCUUUAGGCAAGUUGACGUCAUUGCACUUUUUUAUUUUUAUUUUCUGGCAGACACGUGUAACGCAUGCGCGACUGUGGGCGAGUGGUAGACAAGCCUGCAACAUGGGCCCUGAUGCAACAGUGGAGUCAGAUAUUUCCAACGGUAGGGACACAUGGCUCCAUUUAAAGCUGUUGGAUGAGCUUACCUAGAUCCAAGUCUCCUCAAUCCUAGUGCGAUGAGUUGGGCCAAUCAAACUUCAAAUUGAAGUCUAGUCGGUGACACCCGUUGCCUGACCUUUACCAAUCCCAUCAUGGCUGUUUCAACUAAUGCUAAUUUACUUAACACACAAAUUAAACCCUCUUGUAUCAAUUGUAGUAAAGAAUGUAAGUAGGGAUCGUUCUGGACCGGGGAUUAGGAGGGUUUGCUAAUAACCUCUAAACUGACUUAAAAACAUAUAAACAAAGUUAAAACCCUAAACUAGACUCAAAGAAUUCAAAACAAACUCAAAGAACUCAAAACAAGCUAAAAAUGCUCAAAUCUGCCUAAAAACACAAACUGGGCAGAUUUGGACUCUAACACACUUUUGGACGAAUUUUGGUUUUAACUUGGUUUGAAAUACUUAAAAACACAAACUAAAUCAAUUUCUAAUUAAUAUGACUCAACAAGGUAAAAGGGGUUUUGGUUUUGACGAAAUUGAAAACAAAACAAGUAAAUUAAAGAACUAAUGAAAUCUGCACGAAUUUGAGUAAAUUGAAUGGAUGGAAGGCUAGCUAGGAGGUUCUUUUCCACACAUGACACACUUGCAAACAAAACAAUUUCCAGUUGCUUUUCAAUAAACUACGAAUUCUUAACGCCCCAGAUUAACUGUGAAUUGCACUAAUUAACCCUCAGAUUUUCCUAAUUUCAUUGAAUUGGAUGAUUGCAUACAACAACCCAAAGCAUUCCCUACAAGUUCCCUACAUGAAUUGCAUAAUAGAGAUACAAGCAAGAAUCAUUAAGUUUUAUGAAAAUCAUAAGCAUUGACGAAACACUUGUAACUAUGAAUUGCAUGAAACUUAUGCCAAGAAUUUACUUAACACGGUUGUGACGAGCAACCUUCACUACUUGUGAAUAUAAGUUCACAACGAUUAGGUGAAACUCCCUUAUAUCCUAGCAUCAGAUUUAUGCAUGAAAAUUAAGCGUGCACUCUCAACCAACACACAUAAAUCAGUUUUAAUUCAAAUGGAUAAGUAGAUUGAAUUCACAACUUAUGAAUCAUAACUGAAGUAAUCAAAUCAUAUUGCAAGCAUGAACAUGGUUUCGAAUCCCCCCCUAGCUAAGGGGGGUUUAGUUACUCAUAAUUGCAACAAAAUAAGAAAAUAACAAAGUAGACAUUGAAAGCAAGAACGAAGUACACCUAAAACGCUCCAAAGUUUGAAGCUUGAAACGCCAAGGACCUUCGUUUUCACCACCUUGUUGCAGCACAAGUGUCUAAGGAUGUGUAUGGAUAUAUGGAAAGGUUAUGAAUGUAUUUAGGAUUGGUGAAUGUCUCGGCCAAGGGAAGGGAGUGUAUGGAGUUGUGUUUUGAGAUAUAUGGGAAAUGAAUGGAUGAAUGGAUGGUGCUCACGGCCAAGGAAUGAAAGUGUAAGUGUAUGGAGUUGUGAGAUGUGAAUGUAGUGUCUUUGGAUGGAUUUUUUCUGAUUUUUUGUUAUGGUGAAGGGUGGAUGUAUUUAUAGGCUAGGGAGAGGACUACCAUCUAAUUAAGGUGGUAGUGGUGUAUGUUGUGGUAAUGAGUGGAUGUAAUGGGUGUAGUAGAUGGAUGUUUGGUAAUGAGUGGAUGUAAUGGGUGUAGUGGAUGGAUGUUUGUAGUUGUAGGUCAACACACUUGCACACACACAUGCUGAUUUCUAGCCUUCAAAUCUUCAAAAACGUCCAUCCUCAUGUCUCCAUGCUUGCACUAUCCAAUCUUGGCCAAAAAAUGCUCCAAAAUGCUCCAAAUAGCACUUUGUUGCUAACUUUGUUAUUUGAACCUACAAACACACGAAAAUAGCUUAAAGUACUAAAAUAACUAGAAUUAAACUAAGUAAAUGCCAAGAAACAAGCUAACUAAGUUGCAUAAAUAUGCUCCUAUCAUCAACUAGUAAGGGUCAAAGUCCCAAUCUUCCAAGUCAGGGAAACUACUAUACUUUUUUAGGAAGUCGUGUCCAACCGAAGGGCCAGCCUCAUUAUCAUUUGCCCCGCUACAUUUUUAGGAAGUCAUGUACAAUAGAAGGGCCAGCCUCAUUAUCAUUUGACUGGCUCCUCUAUAGGGGGAUUCAAUCAGAAUGUGAGGAAAUAUUAGUGUUGUGCCAUUUGGCGCAAUCUGAUGCGUCCGAUUUCAAAUCAAUUUGAAAAUCAAUGGCAGGAUUAAUCCAACAUUAAAAAGAAAAAAAAAUCACAAAGAAAUAGAAAAAAAUUAUAAAAAAAAUAUAGCAAAAAUUAGAAUUUUUUAUAUUGUUGUUUUAUAAAUACCCAACUAUCUUCUUCAUUUUCCAUCACAACUCUAUUCAUUUUCACCACAAUCUUCUAUAUUUAUUUUUCACUAUUUAAAUUCUUUUUUUUUUCUUAAAUUAAUUAUGUUUAUUGUAAUGUUGUGCUUUUGUUUUGUAUUGAAAGCAUAAAAAAAUUAAACAAGCAUUUUAUUUUCAAAGCAUAAAAAAAAAAAAACAAUCUUCUAUGUUUUGAACAAUCUUUUUAUUUUCAAAGCAUAAAAAAAUUUAAAAAAAAAAUUGUGAAUAGUACUGUCCUUUUCAAACUAGUGGAGUUACACAAAGGCAAGUACUAUUUAGAGUGAAUAUCAAGUGCAACUUACAUGCCCACUGUUGCCCUUACCUUUCACCAACUAGUGCAGAUGUGCUCUAAGGGGUUAGUCUAGUGGAAAGCAAGCAAAGGUUUGGAACUCCCAGUCCAAGUUUGAAUAUAUGAAUUUCUUGAGGUAACCAGUUUUGUUUUGGCGUAUCUUUUAUUUGUGAGUAAAAAAUACUCUAUUAUCUUAUAUGGUACGUGAUUGCAUUAGAAAGGGGAUUAGUCUCCAUCCAUCUUACAUUGUAGUUUGCACAUGUGAUUGAUUUUUUUGUGUUUAUUUUAUUUUAUAUAAUAUAUUUUUCUUUUAUUAAUAUUAUUAUUUAAAGUAGUGCUAAUAACAUUAAAAUUUAAUUUAUAAAUUAUACAAUACGAUUGUUGAUAAUUAAAUUAUUAUUUAAAUAAUAAUUAAUGUGUUUAUUUUUUAUUAAAUACAUGAUAUGGUAUGCAAAUUUGAAGUAAAAAUUUAGUUUCGAAUCGAAGAGAAAGUAUACGUGCGGAUGAGAGAGAAUCAGAUGCCGAUGGAUCACCACUCUUCCUUUUGAUAUAUAAAGGCUACCCGUCUCUUCCCAUUUUUCCACAUUCGAAACGCACAGACAUAUUUUCCUUUUGUUCCUUUGGACAAUUUCUCUGUGAUUUUCUCGGAAGCCAAACGCUCUCAACGAUGGCCGAUCAGCUCACCGACGACCAGAUCUCUGAGUUCAAGGAGGCUUUCAGCCUAUUCGACAAGGACGGCGAUGGUCUCCUUUCUCAGAUCCCUCUUUUUCUCUCUUUUUUCCCUUUCCUCUUUGUUCUUAUUAUGCCUAACUAAUCUAUGAUAUUUGGAUCUAAUGCUGUUAUUGCAUCGAAAUUUCGUUUGUGCUUGUGAAAAUUUGUGAUUGAUCGAGGGUUUUUCAGCAAUUGAUUCGAUUUAUCAUUCUCCGAGUGCUUUUUGAUCGUUUAGGAUAAGAUCAUGCUGUUAGAUUCGAUCGUUCGAAUUUAAAUAGAUGGAUGAUUUGUGCAUCCCGCUUGUCGAUUCGGUACAUGUCUGAUGUUUCGUUUCCCCUUGUUUGCACAAUUAAUUUUUCUGGUAUUGGGAUCACAAGGCAAUGUUACAUGAUAUAUACAUAAGAAAAUACAGAGAUAUAUAAAUAUAAAACGAUUUACUGUAUGUUUCUGUCGUCUAAUAAUAGCAUGAAAUGCAGAUUUUUGUGCCAAACUCUUCUUCAGGGUUUAGGGUUUGAAGAAAUCUGUGAAUAUACUUUUGAUUUUGAACAAUUUUUGUAUCAGUUCACAGUUUUCAGAUUUUGCAAGCACGCAACUGUUUGACGUCCCCGUAUAUUUCUCCUUCUUAGCUUUAUACUUAGACGAAUCAGUUUUUAUUUCCCUACAAGUAUGUUUGAUCCUUGGAUUUAUAUGUUACUUUUUGAAAUCUGUAAGUAUUAUCUGAGUCGUCGAAUCUUCAUAACAUCGUAUAGUGACUUUUUUUUCUUAUUUGACAAUCGUAUUUUGGUCUUGUGGCAUUUUCUAGCCUUUACCAUCUUAAUGGUUGUAGACAUCGAAAUUGAAAAUUCGUGUUUACAAUGGUAUUUGAGUAUUUUCUUUUUCUAGUUAGGAGUCAGAGUUUGAAGUGCAUCUAUAAAUGUUAUCAAUCCUUUACUCGUAUGGCUGGGUGGUUUUGGGUUGGACUAUUGUGAAUUGAUUUUGUCUUUUCUUUUGUGAUAUUUUGAUAUGGAAUUUGGAAAUCUGGAUGAAUGUUUUGCUUUUUAUUGUUUGCCUUGUAUAUGUUGUCUGCAAUAUUGAAAUUGUUAAGCGUUGUUUGAUUGAAAUGUGAUAGUCUUAGUUCAUGUGUGUGCUUUUCUUUUUCCAAUUUAGACGGAAUUCCCUCAACAGUAGUAACAGUUUAAUGUAUUGGAGUGAAUGUUAGGGGGAGAACAGUGGUUUUCUUGUGUUGGUAUGCCCGGCUACAGUUAUGUGUCUGAAGCCCUAUUACCAAUUUCUUUGUUGGAUUCCACCGUAAUGUUUCUUUAAAUUUUUAUGCAGGUUGCAUCACUACAAAGGAGUUGGGGACUGUUAUGCGUUCACUUGGGCAGAACCCCACUGAAGCUGAGCUUCAGGAUAUGAUCAAUGAGGUUGAUGCUGAUGGGAAUGGGACCAUUGAUUUCCCAGAGUUCCUUAACCUGAUGGCCCGGAAGAUGAAGGACACAGAUUCUGAGGAGGAGCUCAAGGAAGCUUUCCGAGUGUUCGAUAAGGACCAGAAUGGCUUCAUUUCUGCCGCUGAGCUUCGUCAUGUUAUGACAAAUCUAGGCGAGAAGCUGACAGAUGAGGAAGUGGAUGAGAUGAUUCGUGAGGCUGAUGUGGAUGGUGAUGGGCAGAUCAACUAUGAGGAGUUCGUCAAAGUCAUGAUGGCCAAGUGAGGAUUAAUUGACCAAAACUAAAGUUUAUAUAAAAACGUAAAAGGGAACAGAGCAGAUAAGUUCAAAAGAGAUUUUCGUAUCCCAUUAGGACAUGUUCAUUUGUUAUUGCUAGGUUUUGGUUGGUUCAUGUAUGCAUUAUUUGCGGUACCGUUCCUUUAGUAUCCUACUUGUUUGCUGUCUCUUCAUAGUUCCUGUUUGGUAGUGUGUUACGAUACAUUGGUAUUCUGAUUCUUCUCUUUGAAAUCAUGAAUUUAAAUCUGUUGGGUGAAUCUGAUAUUACUGCUUAUUGAAGAUUUUCGUUGUUAAUAUUGCAAGUUGGUAGCCUCUCUUGUUAAUGUGAUCUUGUCGUCAUGCGUUGGUGAUACGUGCUUCUUCUGUUGUUUAGUCUUAAAGCAUGAAAUUUGAAUUUCAAAAUCAUGUUAGUAUUAUGUAAACUAUUUUCUCAGCAUCUGUUCACGCAGAAAUUGAAAGUAGGUUUUCGGGAUUACAAAUUUUUCAAACUCCAUUGGCGGAGUCUGAAAUUGAUCACCGAUGGUGGUUAUGAUCUGAUGAAACUUGUUAAUAGCUUUCUGUAGAUGAUAACUUGGUAGGGAAUGAAUCACUGGUGCAUGACAAACUUGGUUGCUUGCUUGCUUACUCCGUAAGUAGAACGGGGUCCUAGGCACUGGCAUCGGCGACGGGUGCAUCCAACGUCAACGUGCUGUCAUGAUUUCUUCUUUUGUAUUUCUCUUGUUUUUGUGGUGCACGGGGCGGGUGGCCUCAAAGCGAAAACAUGUAAAAGAUAAGCAUCAGAUUCCUCCUUGUUUCACCUUAUUUUACUGAUUCGCUUGGAGGACAAUAGGAGUUAUUCUCUUCCGGACCAAAAUAGAAUCCUACACUUGGCAUUGCAGUUGCAAUGCAGAAGUUUCUCCUUUCACCUCCCCCCAACGUUAAUUCCAGAUACUUUGGAAUAUUGGGGAAGGCGGAAUUGAAAGGGUAAAUGUUGUUAACUAUUUGAGCUACGUGUCUGUUCAUUUCCAAAAUCAUAUUUGGCAUCCAAAAAACGUUUAAAGCGAAAAAGAAAAUUCAAUUAAAGCAUGAUGAGUGGACAGAAGAGCAUCGACCGACUUUUCAAACCAAGCAAUCGAGCAAGUAUAAAAUAGUAAUCUCAAAUCGCAUCGCACCGCAUGCAAAUAGCAUUAAGCAUUAAGCAUUGUAAUAAUGUUUGUCUCUCCUACUUUUAAUGACAGAAGAAUGAGAAGUCGAUCAAAUCAAAGGAGCGACAGCGUCGGCAGCACGAAUUCAAAGGAGUACAAGAACAAGACCGACGGAGGAGAGAACGGGAAGAUGGGGCGUCGUUAUCGUUGUAGACAACACUUACACGAUUGUUCUAUCUUGUAAUUAAAACUCAAUACUUUCAUGUUAUCUUUCUUAAACAUUCCUCUAAUUAAUCCAAAGGGAAUGUUCCAUUACUAUUUAUAUGCGUCCUUGAACAAAGUCUAACCAAUUUAGCAUCAAUCUCCUCUAUGUAUUACUCCUCCAAUUAAUCCAAAGGAUUGGUCAUGGGGACGCAGCCCGGAGGUCCUGGGAAAGGUCCGGGAAGAAGUAGCAAGGAUUUGGUCCCCGGAGUCCAACCCUCCGAUCACGGCGGAGAAGCUCUCGAAGAUGAAGUACACGCACGCGGUGGCGCUCGAGGUGGUGAGGUACCGAGCUCCGGCGACGAAGGGGUAUCUGCCAUUGCUUCAAAAGAAAUGGGGUUGAGUCGAUGGGGUCGACGGAGAACCAUGGGCACGUUUGUCAGUUAAUCUUUCAUUGUAUUCCGCUCUGUGCGUACCAACGCGGAACAGAAUAAAUGUCCUAUUCCAGCCUAUGCGUACCAACGUAGCACGGAACCUCCGUUCCAUCACAUUCCAUUCCGUCCCGAUCUGUCUUGUUCCAAACGCUCCCCUACAAAUGAUAUCUGCGGAGAUCACGAGAAUGACUGAUUCUUUUCAUCCGUUAGAUUAAAGACACCCACACUUGAGAUUCAUCCCAGAGAAUACAGCCCCCUUGAUUAACGAUCCCACACAUACUGUCGCACAUAAGAUUACCACAAAAGAAAUAACAAUUAAAAAUACAAAGAAUUUAAAGGAAAUUAUGCCCAAGACCAAGAUGGUCAGAUUAUCUUCAAUAAUUUUGUUUGGAUCCAAAAUUACACUAUUGGCCCGAGUAAUCGAGACCGUUGAAUGACCAGAAUUUUAGAAUGUUAAAUGACAAAGUGGUUGAAAUGAUUUUCAAUUAUAUUGAGAAAUAAUGUUUUAAUUUUAAUCAUGAUAUUAUCUCUUAGUAAUAUAUUAAAUUAUUUAAACCUAAUAUUUGUCUAAAUCGCAAUUGAUUUGAACAAAUGGAAUAUUGGGAUAUGCGCGACAUCAGAUAAUGAAGCAUGCAUGAUCGGAUGAUUGUCAUACAACUACAAAUGGAUUAAUGCAUGCAUGGAUAGAUUAUGAGGAAGCCUAGAUAGGUCUGGCUUUUGGUGGUGAUGUGAUAAGUCUAAGAUUUGAUGGUCUUGGAUAAUGAUGAGGUAAGAAGCCUAGGUUGGCUAGGCUCUUUUUGCAUGGUGAUGGAGGUCAUCAGAUGAGUUUAAAGGCUUCUGAUGGAGUUUUUGAUCAAAUAAGAAGCUUAGGUGGGCUAGGUUUCUGAUGUGGUGUGAUAAAGCCUAGAUAGGCUUUAUUUUGUUUAAAAGUCACAAAAUCUGAAGGAUAUGCCUUGGCAUUUACGGAUCAAUUUCAGUUUGCUAGAGUUGCAGUUAGACUCUACAAAGUUAUCAGGUCAUGUGUUGACCCUAAAAACUACCAAGCCUAAGUGGCGCGCAGGCUGAGUAACUAAUGAGCUAACUACAUCAUUCGGUUGUAUGCGAGCAUGCCAACUCGUUGGCCGAGAUCAGCUGAGGAGUAAAAUAUGUUGAUGUUACGUUAAGCGCACUGCUGACUUCUUAAUCUUGCAAUUGCGGCUGAGGAAGGAACACAUCUUGGCCUUCGAGUUCUAAAGCCUGAAGACAAGGCUGCUAGUUCUACGAAGUUCACGGAUCGUUGGCAUCGGGUUCGGUCACAAUGAUUAUAUUCGUGAGAAUAUAAGCACGCCGAACUGGCUCCAAACUAUACAGACACAAGUACUCAAAGAAGAUAUAUGUCUUGAUGGUAAACGUGGUUCGGCCGUCAAAAUGCCGAACUCUAAACCCUACUUGUGAAUAACCAAUCAUAAAUAACUCGGCGUUCAAUGUGCCGAGCCUAGAAUUUGUAACACUUCAUUUCGCCGAAAAGGCUAAUGAGAUGACUUCUACCAAUAAGGAUUCGAAAAUCCUUCUCGGUCAAGACUUGGAUAGAUAAUCAGUCGGUCUCGACGCAGUGUUGUUUAUCCAAACUAAAGUUGUUUCGCGGUCAGCUGAUUCUACGGCGGUAUUGCUAUUUAUCCAAACUGAAGAUGUUCGCCGAUUGCCUUCACAGUGCUGUUUAUCCAAACUGAAAAUGUGUUGGCGGAAAAGAAAAUAAAAAAAAUCUCAAGGUUAUUGAAAGGUUUCGCGUAGAGCGAGAGUUUGCGCAGGGCAAUUUGUGUGUUGAGUUCGAGGCAUUUCAAUGUUGCAUUCAACUAUGUAUUUAUAGUGGUUGUCUUUUGCUUGACACGACCUGAUAACUUUGUAGAGUCCAAUUGCAACUCUAACUCGCAAACUGAAAUUGAUCCGUAAAUGCCAAGGCAUAUCCUUCAGAUUUCGUGACUUUCAAACAAAAUAAAGUCUAUCUAGGCUUUAUCACAUCACAUCAUAAACCUAGCCCACCUAGGAUUAUUGUCUCAUCAAAAACUCCAUCAGAAGCCUUUAAACUCAUCUGAUGACUUCCAUCACCAUGCAAAAAGAGCCAAGCCACCUUGGCUUCUUACCUCAUAUUAUCCAAGACCAUCAAAUCUUAGACUUAACACAUCACCACCAAAAGCCAGGCCUAUCUAGGCUUCUUCAUAAUCUAUCCAUGUAUGCAUUAAUCCAUUUGUAGUUGUAUGAAAAUCAUCUUAUCCUGCAUGCUUCAUUAUCUGAUGCCGCAUAUAUCCCAAUAUUCCAUUCGUUCAAAUCAAUUAGGAUUUAGACAAAUAUUAGGUUUAAAUAAUUUAAUAUAUUACUAAGAGAUAUUAUCAUGAUUAAAAUUACAACAUUAUUUCUCAAUAAUAAUUGAAAAUCGUUUCAACCACUUUGUCAUUUAACGAUAUAAUAUUCUGCUCAUUCAACGGCCUCAAUUGCUUGGGCUGAUAAUGUAAUUUUGGGCCCAUACACCGUGUCAAGCAAAAGACAGCCACUAUAAAUACAAAGUCGCAUGCAACAUUGAAAGGCCUCGAACUUAACCCACAAACUGUCAUGCACAAAUUCUCGCUCUACGCAAAACCUCUCAACAACCUUGAGAUUUUUUUUAUUUUCUUUUCCCCCAACACAUCUUCAAUUUGGAUAAACAGUAUUGUGAAGGUAACCGGUGAACAUCUUCAGUUUGGAUAAACAGCACUGCCGCCAUAGAAUCAGCAGACCACGAAGCACCUUCAGUUUGGUUAAACAGCACUGCGUCGAGGCCGACUGGUUAUCUAUCCAAGUCUCAGCUGAGAAGGAUUUUCGAAUCCUUAUUGGUAGAGGUCAUCUCAUUAGCUUUCUCGGUGAAGUGAGGUGUUACAAAUUACUGAGCUCAGCACAUUGAACGCCAAGUUGUUUAUGAUUAGUUAUUCACAAGUAGGGUUUAGAGUUCAGCAUUUUGAUGGCCGAACCACAUUUACCAUCAAGACAUAUAUCUCCUUUGAGUACUUGUGUCCGUAUAGUUUGGAGCCAGUUCGGCGUGCUUAUACUCUCAUGAAUAUAAUCACCAUGAUCAAACCAAGUGCCAAUGAUUCGUGAACUUCGCAGAACUAGCAGCCUUGUCUUCAAGCUCUAGAACCCGAAGGCCGAGAUGUGUUCCUUCCUCGGCCGCAAUCGCAAGAUUAAGAAGUCAGCAAUGCGCAUCAACAUAUUUUACUCCUCGGCUAAGCUCGGCCGACGAGUUGGCACGCCCAUAUACAAUUGAAUGACGUAGUUAGCUCAUUAGUUACUUGGCAUGCGCGCCAUGUAGGCUUGAUAGUUUUUAGGGUUAACAAAUUUGUACGAGUUAAUUUGCAUUGUCUGUCGUAUUAGUUUAACUUGUUUUUUUUGCUACCACUUAGUAAUUCGGUCUAGUGAUUCUUCACUUAUAAGUGAGAGGUCUUAGAUUCGAUUCUCACCAAAAGUGAAUUUGAACCACUUUAUUGCUAGUCCAUUAUGAGGCUUAGCCCACUCCCCUAUCCCUAUGUAGAUAAUAUCGUUUGUUCAAAACAAAAAAAAAUUGUUUUCUUUGCUUUGAUGACUAGACAUCUCAUUCCAUUCUUUUUGGUUUUACAGGGUUUAAUCUACCAUUUUUGAGUCACCACCAUAGUACGGAUGAAGCCAAAUUUAAGGUAAUUUUUGCUUUAUCUAGUCAAUCUUCUAGUUAAUUUAUGUUGGUUUUCGUUUGGAUCCUAAUCAAGUUUUGGCCAACAAAGUGGAUGCUAACUAAAAUUUCAUAAACUAAUAGUGGAAACGUUGCAUGCACUCCAAAACUUGAAAGCAGUGGAAUUUUGAAACUCAUUUCUUUGGUAGAUUACCACAUCAAUUUCAAGAGAGUAUGUAGUACUACUUUGGUUUUCAUCAAAGGUUGUUCACACAACCUAAAGGGAGGGCCUUUUUCCUUCCUUUGCAUGCUUCAUCUGCAAGACCCGGAGAACACCCUUGGAAGAUUUUUUAGUUGCACCUAGUCAUCCCAUGAGUAGGUUGCCUACGUACCUCUUCUCCAAGAGGAUCAAAUUUUCAUAGUUCGCCUUUAGAACCAAGAUGCCAAUGGAUGGUGAGUAAGAGUGAUUAACUAGAAUAAUCUUUCUUACGAGGAGUAGGGUGGUGAACAACUACUAGACUAAAAACUCUAAUAACUCGAAACACACUUAGAAUGACUCAAAAUAAUGAAAACAAUCAAAUUAGACACUAGGAACUGAAAUGGACGGAAAUUGAAUUAAAAGACUAACAACAAUGAAAACUAACUAAAUAAUAUAAUUUAAUAAUGGAUGGGUGUUUGGUUUUGAUGAAAAGUAAAUUAAACUUAAUUAAAUUACAGAAUUGACAAAAACAUAAAAUUAAGGUAAAAUGAUAAAUGAUGGAUUAGCUAGAGGGUUCUUCUCCACACAUGACACAUAUGCAACCUAAAUUGAUUUUCAGUUGUUCUUUCAAUAAAUUGUGAAUCUCAAUACUCCAGAUUAACCGUGAACAGCACUUUUUUAAUCUUCAAGUUUUCCUUAAGUUAUUGAAUUGGACGGAAAAACGCAUACAACAAUUCAAAACAUUCUUCAAAAGUCCCCUAUGUGAAAAGCACAAUAGAGAUACAAUCAAAGAUCAUUAAACUUUGUGAAAACCAUAAGCAUUGACGAGGCAUUCGUAACUAUGAAAAUGAUACUCUUGCCAAGAAUUCACUUAACACGAUUGUGGAUAACAACCUUCACUACUUGUGAAUAUAAGUUCAUAACGAUUAGGUGAAAUUCACUUAUAUUCUAGCAUCAAAUUCAUGCAUGUAAAUUAAGUAUGCAUCCUUAAUCGACAUACAAAAAUAAGUUAUCAAUCAAGCAGUUAAGCAAAUUAAAUCACAACUCAGAAAUCACAACUGAAGGUAAUCAAUUCAUAUUACAAAUAUAUUCAUGGCUUUGAAUUAACCUCUAGCCAAAAUAAAUUAGUUACACAUUAUUAACAAAUUAAACCAAACGUAAAUUAUGAGUUUGAGAAGAUAACACCAAUAAGAACGGAGUGAAGCCCUCUGCCUCUGUGCUCCUCUUCUUCCCUGGCUGUCGCACUUUCUUUUUCCCUGAGGCUCAAGCUGCGCAAGGCAGCUUGCUAAUUCCCCCAAAAUCACCUCCUCAUCACUGCUCUCUGCCCUCUCUUCUAUAUUCUGUUUGGCAGCCUCCUGCCCUCCUUUUCCUUUAUUUUUUUAUUCUUUUUCUUUCUGGCAGCCUUGCUGCCCUUCUGUCCGUGACCUCCUUCUCUUCUCACGCUGCCCCGCACCGCAAGGCAGCUCAGCUGCUCCUUCUUUAUUUCCUCUCAGUCCGUCCCUUCUGAUUCUCACGCUGCCUAAGGCAGCUUCCUCUCACUUGCCAGCUGCAAAGCAGCUAUUUCUUUAUUCUUCUCUGAUCUUUCCAAAGCUGCAAGGGCAGCUUACUCCUUUCCUCUCUCACGCUGCCAAAGCAGCCCUCUCCCUUUUUCCUUUUCAGUCCCUUUUCCGCAUCUUCUCAUUUUCUUUUUCUCUCGCCAGGCAGCCAAGUGCUGCUUUUCCUCCGCUAGCUGCAAAGGCAGCUUCUUUCUUUUCUUUUCUGGCGCACGCUUUCUCCAAGUCGCUCCCCCUUUGCAUAUGCAUGUGCUGGUUUUUUAUUCAGGCUUUCAUUAGCCCACCUCACCAUCCAUACCUUUUCCAACGUCCUGCCAAUAUUAGUUUAAGUAAAUGAUUCAUCAUGAUUCCAUUAUCAAAAGUAAAAUUAUAUCCUAAGCUAGCUAAUUGUAAUUAUUAAAGAACACAUAGUUUGGUGUGGUGGAUAACUGCCAAUAUUAUUUCUCUGCCGUGUUCUUUCUUUUCUUUUUAUUAUUUAAAACUCAUUUGUGCUAUUUUUAUUUUCUUUGCAUAACAAAUCCUAUAAACAUAAAAAUAACGUAAAUAGCUCAAAAAUAUAAGGAACUAACUAAGAAAAGACGAGUGAAUUCGAAGUAAAAAUAUAUAUAAAUAUGAUCCGAUCAAAUACCCCCACACUUAACUUUUGCUAGUCCUCGAGCAAAACAAAGAAAACAUGAAAAAGAUUAGCUUCCCUCUAUGUGACCCUCAUAGAUUUUCAAUUAAGAAAACAAAUCAUCAAGAACCAUAGCUAGCAUCAAAGAACUAAUCCAGGUUCAUCUUCCUAAUUCAAAUAUUAGCAGUAAUCUUUGAAUCAUCCUUGAAGUGUAGUGUGUGAGAUAGCCAUGCUAAUGCAAUUUCAAGUUUUUAUUUUUAAAAUCAUCAUAUGCAAACUAGCGACCUUCUCACUGGAUAUGCACUCAAUCACACAUGUGUUUAGUUUUAAUGUGUUUCGCUCAAAGAAUCAAAUGUGAAAUUUCUACCAUAAGCUUGCAUAAAGAUCUCAUCUCCACAAUCAUAAUUGCAAAACUUAAAUCAAGAUGACUUUUAUUGGAUGUAAUGAGGUUUAGGGAUAGGGUUAUUGAAACGAAAGAAUUGGAAAACACAAGUUCCAAGCUACAUUGCAAGCAAUUCUUUUCUUUAGAUUUAUAAGAACUCAAGCUCUCCAGCAAUUCUUCUAGCACCUCCAACCAUACUCUUAAACUGAAACUUUAAAAACUUUUUAUUUUCUUUUUAUACAAUCUUUCUCUUUUCUUUUUUUCUUUUCUCUUUUUUUUUUUUUUUUUUUUUUUUUUUUUUUUUUAAACACAAACAUGAAAUACCCCACACUUAUUCUUUUGCCAAACAUCUUCACAAUACUUCACAAACGUUUCUCAUAAGACAAUCUCACAUUGCUCACUAGCUUGCUUGGAAAGGGUAAGGAAAAAUGCUUCAGGUAUAAGGGUAGACAUAUCUGGUGAUAAGAAAUAAAAGGCUCAACAUACACGGCUCAAAUUGGCAAUCUAAUGAUAUCAUUUUUCUUUGGGAAACAUGGUUAUUUGGGCCAUGGUGGUAAACCUAAUGCCUCUAUCAUUUCCAAGUUCAUGCAAUCAAUGACAAACAUUUCGAAAGAUCGUUACGCAAGUUCUAGAGAUGUAUCUCACAUAAGUUCAUCACACAUGAAAGAAUAGGAGUGUAUGAAAAAUGCACACACUUUCAAUAGGCUCAAAAACUCACAUAGGAUGUAUAUGGUCACUAAAUUCACAUAUGAAGCUUUAAGUCAUACUUUAGUUUCACAUUAACAAGGCUAUGUGCAUUUGGUUUUUCAAAGAUGAUCAAACAUGUACAAAACUAACAAGAGAAUUAGGAAUUUCACAAAACACAUGUUAACUAAGUUCUUGAUGAUCAUGGUUCAAAUUUGAUCCAAUUAUAUCAUUGGGUCGGGAAGCUAACAAAAAUCUAAUUCAAAACAAUAAGGGAAACAAGACAAUAUUUUUGGAUUUUUAAAUUUUCCGAAAUUUUUUAAAUUUAAAUUUUUUUUUUUUUUUAAAAGAAAACAAAACUAAUUAAGAACACAAAAAACAACAACACAGUUUUUUUAUUAUUUUUUUUUUAAAAGAAAACAAAACUAAUUAAGAACACAAAAAACAACAACACAGAAACAAAUGAAAUUCUGGAGAUUUCUACCCCCACACUUAAACUUGACAUUGUCCCCAAUGUCAGAAAACACUAUAACGCAAAUAAAAAUAAAAUAAAAUAAAUAAAUAAUAAGAAACAAAAUAAAGCAAUUAGACUGAAAACUUCCCUAAUUUGCAGUAAAGUCAAGCGAUGACCCCCAAGCUAAAAUUCUGCAAUCAACUUCAAGGGUAGAAAUAACCAAAAGUUCCUGCAAAGAAAAGAAAUAAUUCAGUUAAGUAACGCAAGAAAAUGUAAAAAAAAAAUUGCAAACGAAAAAUUGAAAAUCACGAUAAAAGACAAUGAAUAGAACUAAUAAGUGAUUAUUGGUCGUGCUUGUUGACUUUCCACAGCUUUCCUCUUGAACUGGUUUGGAAUUCUGAGCGAGAAUUGCACAGUCUGCAUUCUUCUCUGCUUGUUUCCUCUGCAUGGCGGGCAGGCACAAGGUAGUUGUGUUGGUCUGAUUCUUUCUUCAAUCUUUCCAAGUGCCCACCUCUUGCUUUCUUUCUCCUUGUCCCUAGCUGAGGAUGAAUCAGCACGUUGUCUCCACAUGCUUCGAGGUAUCAUUUUCACCUCCCUUACUUGUCCCCCAAGUAGAUGUGGUAGACAAAACGGAAGCAUAAGAUGAAGAAGAUGAGUACUCGAGAGCAAGGCUAGGUAAGCAAUCAGGAAGGGGUUCCAGGCAGUUGGCUCCAGAUCGGAAGAUUUAUACCAAGUGCUGGCUGAUUGCUCGCUUUCUCCUUGUCGGAAAACAAAGACAAGGAGAAGGACAUGGAGAAAGCAUGAUAUGAGAUACUCUUGCUUUCAACCUUUAUGAUAUGAAAUACUUUUGCUUUGAAUGGGUUGUUCGCAGGAGUAUCCCAAGGAAUGAGGAACACAGAGUGACUCGAGAGGAUUCUUUGGGAAUGCAUUUUCGGAGAUGAAGAAGUGUUGAGAGGGUGUGCUGAGAGAGUGUGCUUUUGCUGUGGAAGGCGAAGGUAGAAACUUAUAGGACUUGUCUUCACAACCGGAACUGUUCUCUCACUUAGUGUCGGCAGCCGGUGGAUGGGUGAAGAAUACAAAUUACGCGCUUUCUGACAAAGCUGCCCGUAAUUUCCGCAAAGCUGCCAGUUGCAUGUGACAAGUGCUGACUAGGCUGAGAGAGACAGAUGGUUGGAAUCGGCAAUUCGACAGACUGCCCGUGAUUUUCGCAGAGCUGAGUUUGCGUGUGACGGGUGACAACACGUCUGGACGAAUUGAUCUUGCGAAAUCCGGGGUUCCGCUCGUGGUUUCUGAGCAAGCCCAACUUUUAAGAAAUGAACGCCUCUUUUGAGAAAAGAAUCCGGCUUUUGAGAACGGAAACUCCUCUUUUGAGAAAAGAAUCCGGCUUUUGAGAAAGGUGCCCGACUCUUCGAUUUGCGAGAGGACGCCUCUCUGAGGAGCGCCUCUUUGAUUUCUUCUUUUUAUAGAGGCGUUAAUUUUGUUCCACAACACACUUGAGCACCCUCCUGUAAACACUCCCUUCUUGCACUUGUUUAAUCUUGAUCUGUCCGACUCUCUUCUUUCUUCACCACCUCUGAAAAAUGUCUGGCCCUUCCGAUCGUCGUUUUGACUUAAACCUUGGUGAAGAGGCAGCUCCGCCUUCACCAGACAACAUAUGGCGCCCAUCCUUCAUAUCUCCCACCGGUCCUCUUACCGUGGGGGAUUCGGUGAUAAAAAAUGACAUGACCGCUGCAGUGGUGGCCCGGAACCUUGUCACUCCCAGAGAUAACAGACUGCUCGCUAGACGGUCUGAUGAAUUGGCGGUUAAGGAGUCUUUGGCUCUUAGCGUGCAGUGUGCGGGUUCUGUGUCCAACAUGGCCCAACGCCUAUAUGCUCGAACACGUCAUGUUGAGUCGUUGGUGGCUGAAAUACAGAGUCUCAAACAAGAGAUUAAAGGGCUCAAGCAUGAGAAUAAAGAAUUGCACAAGCUCGCACACAGCUAUGCCACCAGCAUGAAGAGGAAGAUUGACCAGAUGCAGGACACCGAUGGUCAAAUUUUACUUGAUCAUCGGAGGUUUGUGGGUUUGUUCCAACAACAUCUGCCUUCGUCUUCUGGAGCGGCACCGCGUAGUGAAGCUCCAACUGAUCAACCUCUGCCGCCUCCUCCUUCUGUGGCCCCGCCGACUGCUGAAGCCCCGCCUACUACUGAAGCACCACCUGACCAAUGAAUGCUUAUUAGUUUACACAUCAUUGUAAAAAAAUGUUUAUUUCUAUUUUUUUUUUUUUUUUUUUUUUUUUUUUUUAAAUCAAUGUAAAAUAUGUAAAUCAAUGUAAAAAGACUUUGGUUAACCUUCCCCCACACUUAAACUAAAUAACACAAACUCACAGAAAUCAACCAAAUAACACAACUAACUAAACAAAACAAAAUGAAAGCAGUAAAGAUAAGGGUGUAAGAAUUCAAAUCUGAUUUGGUUAGCGAUUCCAAAGUCUCCCUUCGUUGAAUGCUUGGGUUGCCUCCCAAGAAGCGCUUGAUUUAACGUCUUUAGCCGGACGAAUCUUUCCUUUAACCUCCCCUCGGCUCCAAAGCAUGGAAUUUAUCUUUUAAUGGGAGGUGAUACUUGAAAUGAUUCGGCAAUGGUUUAAAUUCAAGAGUGGGUGCCUGAAUCAUCAAAAUCAGAAACAUGUUAGUAUAAAUUAAAAUUGAAAUUGGAGAAGAUGGCUUACUUUCUUUUUCCGACACAAACUCAAUGACAAACACCACAUUUGUGAACAUUUCAGGGACUUUGAACUUGGCCAGGUUUACUAUGAUGGUUGUGGCUUGUCCCGUGUCAUCAAAUUCAACUGCUUUGGGCUUGAUUGUCUCAUGCACAGCCUCUUGGAUGUAUUCUUGAUAUGCUUCAACCACUUCAUUUUCUUGAAUCCCUUUUCUUGGUGUGCAAGGUUCUUUGAAUGUUUCAAUACCAUCGGGAACUUGUUUUGGUGCACCAAGAAUUAGGAUAUCACUUUGCACCUUUGGAAGAGCUUCCACAAUGUCUUUUUCACUCUCUUUGAUAUUUGGAAUCAAAAACCUGCAAGGAAAAAUGACAUUUGGUGGACUAAUGUUAGAAUGAAGUGAAUUUAGAACUUCCUCACCUGAGUUGGAUGACAUAGGGAUUUGAGGAGCUUGCAGCAAGAAUUCUUCUAAACUGCCCAGGUCGUCCUCCUCCUCUUCUGCUUGCAGCAGCAAUUCAUCCAUGUUCGGGCUGUGUUUGGAUAGUUCUGGGAUAGCUUCAUCCUUCAUGUCACCUUCCAAAGUGAUGGCUUCAUCAAUUUCACUUUCUGCCUUUGAAUUUGCAAUGUUUGAGUUGGAAAGUUCACUUUGAUCUCGAAUCUGUGCCAUGAAUUCCACAAUCUGCCCAACUUGCAUUUCCAAUUCGUCCACUCUUUUGACUCGGUCUUGCAUCUCCUGGUUUUGAUUUUCUACUCCCUGAUUCAAAGAGGUGAGUAACUUAUUAAGUGUAUCAUUAUCCAAGGAUGUACCUGAAUUGAAUUGGGUUGAUUGUUGUGGUGGCUGUGACGGUUCAUAUGGCCACUGAUAGAACUCUUCCGAUGGCGGCAAUUGUUCUUCUUUUCGUAAACCCUGCGCCACAGAAAUUAGUCCUUCAAGAAUUUCAUUAUAAUUCAUGGGCAUACUUUGAUUUGAUUGGAAUUGUUGUGGGGAAUGCUGUGGUGGCUGCAUAGGUCUUGAAUAGAACUUGUCUUGCUGCCAAUAUCCACCUUGUUGAAAUUGUUGAGGUUCAUCCCACAUAUAAUUUGAAUGAUCUCUCCAAGCCGAAUUGUAAGCGUUGGAAAACAUGUUGUUGCUUGGUUGAUCAUAGCCUUGAUAACCCCAAGCAUCUUCAUUGGCAGAAAAUUGAGGACUUUGAUAUCCUUGCCCAUAGGGCACAUCAAGUGUAGGGACACUUGGCAUUGUGGUCCGUUCGGCAUUAUGAGUCAAUUGAGCAGUGAGUUGUGCCAAUUGAGCUUGAAUGGUCGCAAGUGCCAUGUCUCGCUCCAUUUGUACCUAAAAUCAAAGAAAGAAAAAUAAAUCAAAUAUCAAAAGUAAAAUACACAAACACCAAACAUCCCAAUAAAACCCUAUGGCCGGCCAUAUUGAUAAAGGAGUGGGUUUUGGACUUAUUACAAGUUUGCCACUCCAAUGAAGGUACGUAUAAAUAUGACUUUAUAGCCUUUUCUUCAUUAGGGUUUCUUUAGGAGAAAAGAUGAGAACACAAUGUCUCUCCCUUUCUCUCUAGGAGGCUGGCCCCCUUAGAGGAGAUUAGCUAGCAAUCUUCUCUCCUCCAAGGUCACUCAUCUCUUCUUCGAGUCUCUUUCUGGUGUGGAAAAAUUAAAGGUUCUUAACUUUGGGAACUUAGAGAAUCCUUUCAACCAUCCUCAUCCAAGAAAUCCAUGGAGCUAAGAAGCAAGGAAUGAAAGCCCUCUCCUUGAGUGAUUAGCCUUUGCUUAUGCAAAGAGGAAUCAACAAAGGUAUAAGAUUUCUCAACUCACUUUGUUCUUGAGUUGAGUCUUGGUUCACCCUUCUACUAGGCUUUGAAUUUCAUGGGCAAUGUUUUGUUUUUGAGUGCAUACAAGCAUGAUUCCGCCUUUAAUUGUUAAUUGCAUGCCAUAGAUGUUGCUCAAAAUUUCCUUCACUUAUCACAUGAGCAGGAUAUUCUGAUGGCAUCUUGGUGGAAUGUUGGCCAGUAAUAUCCUUGGCGAAAAGCCUUGUAUGCUAGGGAUCGAGAUCCAGCAUGAUCUUCGGAGACUCCUUCAUGUAUUUCCCGAAGGACAGUUUCCACCUCUGCGGGCGUAAGACAUCUUAGGUAUGGUAGGCUAAAACCCCGCUUGUAGAGUUGGUCAUUAAUGAUCAAGUAACGGGUAGCCUUGUAUCGAAUCUGCUUAGCUUGGACUUUGCAUUUGGAAGGGUGCCAUGAGCAAGGAAUCUAUAAAUCGGGGUAAUCCAACUAUCCCCCUGUUGUAAGUUGCACACUUCCGCAACCAUGGUGCUUGGUACUGCCAACAAUUCGACUUGAAUUUUUCUCCCAAUCUUGUCUUCCACCGCUGAGGCGAAGCGAGCCAAAGCAUCUGCAUGACUGUUUGCCGCUCGAGGAAUUUGGGUGAUCUGGUAGUGGAAAUGCUUAAGCAACAAUUGUGUUUGUGCCAGAUAUGCUACCAUGGAGCUAUCCUUAGCGUCAAAGUUGUUGGUGACCUAGUUAACCACCAAUUGGGAGUCAUUGAAUAUAUCAAUUUGUUUAACCCCAAGGUGUUUGGCCAAACGUAAGCCUGCUAGGAGGGCUUCAUAUUCGGCCUCAUUGUUCGACACAUUGAAUUUGAAAUGAAGAGCAUACUUCAUCGCCACUUUGUCAAGGGUCGUAAGGACUAGUCUUGCUCCACAACCCUGUUGGUUGGACGAGCCAUCAACAUAUAGACUCUAUGUUAGGGUUGUUAGUUCUAUUUUCUGAGCUUCCGAAGGUAAUGAAACCAGCCAUCAACAUAUAGACUCUAUGCUAGGGCUGUUGGUUCUAUUUUCUGAGCUUCCGAAGGUAAUGAAACCACUUCUUUAGGCGUAGAAACAAUAUCAACAGGAUAUGUGAAGUCGGCGAUGAAGUUUGCCACUACUUUGGCCCUUCUCAGCAGGCUUUGGUUGGUAGGAGAUGUCAAACUCACCCAAUGCUAUCGUCCAUUUUAUCAUUCACCUCAAAGUGUCAAGACUUUGAAGUAUCUGUCGAAGAGGAUGAUUGGUAAGCACGAUGAUGGAGUGUGCUUAAGGGUGAAGUUUUUUAGCAGACAUGACCAAUGCUAAAGCCAAUUUCUCAAUGUUGGAAUAUCAUGUCUCUGCAUCUUGCAAGGCCUUGCUAGCAUAGUAGACAGGCCGUUCGACAUUACCAUCUCCUCGAAUGAGAACAGAACUUACUGCCGAAGCCGAUACUUACAGAUAGAUAAUGACAGUGUCACCAACCUCAGGUUUGGAGAGCAUAAGGGCUUUACUCAUGUAGUCUUUGAGGUUUUUGAAUGCCUCGGCACAUUCAUCAGUCCAUGUAAGGUACUUCUCACUUCCCUUAAGUGCUUUGAAUAAAGGAGCACAUCUGUCUGUGGCCUUAGAGAUGAACCUAGUUAAGGCUGCCACCUUGCCAGUAAGGCUCUGGAUGUCUUUUGAAGUUACCGGUUCCUUCAUGUCGAGGAUUGCUUUAAUCUUCUCGGGAUUAGCCUCAAUGCCUCGUUGGCUUAUCAUGAAGCCUAAGAAUUUGCCAGAGCCUACGCCAAAGGCACAUUUGUUGGGGUUCAACCUCAUUCGAUACCUCUUCAGAAUGGUGAAAAUUUCAGAUAGGCUAGCGAUGUGUUGGUUAACAUGUUUGCUCUUGACUAGCAUAUCAUCAACGUAAACUUCCAUGUUUUUCCCAAUCUGUUCGGUGAACAUUGAAUUGACUAGUCUCUGAUAAGUCGAUCCUGCAUUCUUUAGGCCGAAGGGCAUGACUUUAUAGCAAUAUAGUCCCCUAUCAGUAGUGAAGGCUGUGUGUUCUUGGUCCGGAGGGUUCAUGAGGAUUUGGUUGUAUCCUAAGGAAGCAUUCAUGAAGCUCAGGAGUUCACACCCUGCCGUAGAGUCUAUAAGUCUGACAAUGAGAAGAAGAGGAAAGCUAUCCUUCGGGCAUCCUUUGUUUAGGUCGAUAUAGUCGACACACAUUCUCUACAAGACCUUUUGGAGCAAGAGACUUUCUUUGGUUAGAUUUUUCUUAACAAUGACCACAUUUGCUACCCAUGUUGGGUAAUUGACUUCCCGGACGAAGCCUAUGCCUUUGAGUUUUUCAACUUCUGCCUUCAUUGCUUCAUAUCGUUCAGCGUCAUAAGAUCUUCGCUUCUGUCUCACCAGCUUGGUCUUGGGGUCAAUACUCAAGCGAUGACAUAUGAUAUCGGGAAAGAUGCCUGGCAUGUCCUCGUAUGACCAGGCGAAGACCUCAAUGUUCUCUUGCAAAAAAAAUAUCAAUGUCAACUGAAUAGGUGGUGACAAGGUGGUGCCAAUCUUCACCAUGCAAUAUGGAUAAUCUUUUGAUAUAGAAACCUUCUCCAGCUCUUCAGCGAGUUGUGCUUGCUAGGUGAAAGAGUCAUUUCGAGGAUCGUCGGGUUAACUGUUGCCACCGUGAAGAUCCAAGUUGGCUUCGUCCGGGCUUGUCUUUAUGACUUGGUCAUGUAUAGAAAAGGUUUCCUUGGGCACAGGCAGGUGUUGUUGCUUGACCGAAAUGUUGUAACAUGAUCGUGCACUAAGUUGAUCUCCUCUGAUGUAACCAUUGCCAUAAGGGGUUGGAAAUUUCAUCAACAACAUAUGUGUAGAUACCAUGGCCUUGAGAUCAUUGAUGCCUGUGCGUCCAAAGAUGACAUUGUAUGUCGUUAGGCAAUCAACUACCAGGAAGUUAGUGGUAAUGGUAGCUGUGUAAGGGCAUGUACCAAUGGUGAAAGGUAAGUGUAUGCUCCCUAUAGGUUGCACGAUAUCACCGUAGAAGCUUAUCAGAGGAGAAAUCGAGCGAUCAAGCAAGUUUUCAACUACAUUAAGUGCCCUGAAAGCUUCAGCAAACAUGAUAUUGACCGAAGCCCUCAUGUCUACCAAGAUUCGUCUUACUUCAAAGUUGGUUAUGUGAGCCUCCACGAUCAAUAGGUCGUUGUAAGGGUAGAUGAUACCUUUUUCUUCCUCAGGGUAGAAACAUAUUGGAUCCUAGUUAGGCUUUUGAUAUUUGCCUCCCCUGAUAUCUUCCACGUGAAACACUUGGUGGCCAGGCCUUAAAGCUCGUUCGCUGUUUUUCAUGGCCCUAUUAGAAGAUUCAGAUAUGGGUAUGCCGCCGCUUAUGGAAUAUAUCACGUUCACUUGGUGUUGGUUAGGUUAUCCCUUAAAGGGUGAAGAAGGAAUCGAUCAAUUUUUCCUUCACGCGCCAAAGCUUCAAUAUGAUCCCGAAGGGUGAUACACUUCUCGCUGCCAUGGCCGUUAUGCUCGUGGUAGCAAUAAAACGUGCCCGUGUUCUUCGUGGGUUUGUAACCCGACUGCCUCGGCAUUGUCUUCGGUAUCAAGUGUGUUAUGCUGGGGUAAAUGGCCACGCAUGUGGCGUUGAAAGGUGUGUGUAUGUCUCAUACCUCGGGGUAGGGCCUAUCCUGACACGUGUUUAGCCCACUGUGUUGACUGCCUAGGGGCGAGCAUUAUCAUGGCGAUACCCUUGAUUAUCGCGAUAGUGUCCUUUACUCCUUUUACUAAAAUGGGACUGGUGAGAAUGGAAAUCUUUCCUUUUGCCCUGAGAUUGAUAUGUAUGUUGACUUGGUGAAGUAUUAAGUAAGGAAAAAUGAGGCACUGCUGCCGUUUGGAAGGUCAAGGUCUUCUCAUUUGGUUGGAUCUAGCUUCCACUCCCAACUUGCUGAUAAGGGGUGGCUGUGGGGGUUUCCCUUGAAAUGUCCUUACCUUAGCGGAGGCAUGGUUGUAAGCAUGUGCCAUCACCUCAGAGUAAGUCUUCCAAGUGUUGUCAUUGAUCAUGUACUUGAAGAAACAAUCACGUAGGCCUGCCGUGAAGGCUUUGAGGGCAGUCUUGUCGUCUGCCUCGGCACAACGGGAAUACUCAUAGCUGAAGCAGCCAGCAUACAUACGUAAUGACUCGUCUGGCUUCUAGCGAAUAGUGUACAAGUCAUCCACAGAGUGCAAGCGAUCGGUCUAGAAAAUGUGUUGAGAAACAAACAGUUUCCUCAAUUCCUCAAAUGAGUCUACUGUCUUAGCUGGAAGACGACAAUACCAGUUUAGAGCUCCGUCAGAGAGGGUGUAAGGGAAGAGAAGGCAUCGCUCUUCGUCGGUGUGCAUCCGGUAUGCCAUGGUGGACUCAAAUAGGUUAAGGUGUUCAAUCGGGUCCUUCUUUCUAGUAUAGAGUUGCAAGCCAAGCUUCUGCUUUGUCUUUGCUUGGAUGGGGGGUGUCAAGGAUCCUCCUUGUAAGAGAGCCAGGCCUAGGUUGGUUCCAAUCAAGUAUCUCAGCUUGUCGUUCGACCUUCAACUUGUUUACUUCCUUAAGGAGAUGUAGGACAAGAGGGUCCUAAAUGGAGUCAUGUACCACUGGAUCUUUCUUUCGAUCUCCUCUUGGAAGUAGGAAGGUUUGAUCAAGAGCAUGUGAUUUUUCCCUGGACUCGCCGUACUGACUUCCAAGGUAUGUCUAUCGGAACAUCUUUGAGUCCCCUAUACCUUCGUGUUUCUCUAAGACUUGUUGCCCCUUCCCCAAAUUGGUAGCCGGCCUGGGACAUGGGAGGGGACCGAGUCUUUCAGAGACCCUUGGGUCAUUGAUCUUCGAGCUUACAUGGAUGGGAUUGUCUCGACGUUGCUUUAGGAAGUCUCGACAGUCGCGAAAGACGGUUUUCGAUCCUUUCACUCCUUCUGUAAGGAGGUGUCUUCCUCCACUCCUCCUGCUUCGGGUCAAAGCAACUAGGUUGAGAGAAGUCUCAUGUUGGUCGCCAUUUCGAUGAGUAGCUCGCUUCUCAACGGGAAUACCCAUGUCGAGGGCAAAUGACCCUCCAUGUUGGGGGGCACCCAGUUGAUGGUUGACUUCCAUAGGGGUGAUGAGCUCGUGUGUUUUAGUAUAUCUAGCCUCAUGGAGCAUCUCGAAGACCUUCUUAUACUGCUCUUAGAAGAUCUCAUUCUUCAUCGUUAUCUUGUUGUUCUGAGCCUCCAGCUCAUCGACUUUAGCCUGAAGAGCAAACUUCUUUUGUUCCUUCUUUCGUUGCUUCGCACCAGGUGCAAGAUGGGUGUCAUUCUGUGUGUUGUGGCUUCCUUCUCUCCCCAUGUUGGAAAGGGAUGUCUGGUCAAAAGAGAGUGUACGAAUGGUGGAAACCAGCUUAACAAAGUUGAAGAGAAUGGGAAUAAAUGUCGUUCCCACAGACGGCGCCAAAUGUUGAUGCACAAAAUCAGUGAGGACUUUGGUACAAUAGAAAGUGUUAGGUUUGUGACCUUCGCUAAAUUGUUCCGGUCACUAGUGUGGAUAAGUAUGUAAAUGGAUAGAGACAGGGAAGCAAACACAAAAUGUACGUGGUUCACCCAGAUUGGCUACGUCCACGGAGUAGAGAAGUUCUCAUUAAUUGUGAAGGGUUUACACAAGUACAUAGGUUCAAGCUCUCCUUUUGUGAGUACUAGUGAAUGAUUUAGUACAAAUGACAUUAUGAAAUAUUGUGAGAGAAUUAUCUCUAUUUAUAAAAGAGAGUUUCUAGUUUUAUUCUGACAUUGACACAUGUGUUGUGAUUGGCUUAUGAUGUUAACACGUGUCGCGCUAUGAUUGGCUUCUGAUGUCGACACGUGUCGCAUUGUGAUUGGCCUCCUGGUUGGAAGGAAACUCUUCUGGGUGGGUCCUUGACGGUAUAAUGUUGACCGAUGCUCAGUAGUUUCGAGAUUGAUCAAGUAUAAUACAAACAAAGUACAUAUGCACUUACAGCCUGAUACUAAUUAAAUGCACCUAUAUUCUCAAAAAUAUAAUUGAGUCAGCCAAACCUAAUACAGAAGAUCCUGAACUUUGCAAUGAACUAGACAACCUUGUCUUCAAGUUCUAGAACCCAACACAGAGUAGUCACUUAAAUGUAGAAGUCAACAGAACAUGCCACCACAUAUAUUCUACUCGCCCGACCAAGCUUGAUUGCGAGUUAGCACACCCCUAUUCACAAAGACGUAAUUAACUCAUAAGUUACUCGGCAUGAGCGUCGUGUAGGCUCCAAGUCUUAACACAUACCAAAUUAUUGUAUUAUUAUUAUUUUAUUUUUUAUCUAAGAUACGAUGGUUGGAUCAUAGUUUUGAUUGGCAUCGAAACAAUUUAAAGUACAAAUAAAACUUAAAUACAUUUGAUGUAGAAGCAACCCAACCCGCGUUAGUAGAAUUAAAGAAGGAACGUUCUCACACAAACAGUAGAAGGAACAAUUGGUUGGCGAAAUUGAUUACAAUUAUAACACUGAUUUUACUUGACUUGUUGCAUAUCCUCCUCCGUCUUCCAAACAACAUCCUCCAGGCCUGUUGCGAGGUUCUUAUAGAACUGCAAAAUUCAAAAACUACGAGUUUCACUAUCAAACUUACCUACUUAAGCCUAUUCCUUUGUCAAGACUAAAGACAUAUGCUCUAAUCACUAAUUUUACAUACGGCGUUGGUGUUGGCGUUGCCCACCAUGCCGGUUAAACAUAUUAUGAGAUAUCAAGCAAAUUAAGCGAAGAGCGUUACCUUGUGGAACUCCAAGGUGUCCCCUUUAGCUUUUCGCACUUCGACCAUGUGAAGAGAAGGUGCAACUUGAAAUAUCUGAUCAACACAGCAAGCGAUGUGUUAAAAACAAAAUAUAAACGACACUGAUCCAACUUUUUAAGCUCAAUAGAACUUUCCAUGUACCUCUGUGGCAACAUUAAGGUUUCCCUUUCUUCCAGCUUUCAUAUUUUCAAGCCUCAGCUGAGAGAACGAAUAUAAAAUUUGUUAUCUUCUUAACACACCACGCACGCACACCAAAUAGCUCAAAUCCUUAAAUUCCAACUUCUGCAUCUUCUCACCUUGUAGUUUUUUUUAUGCACGUCAAAACCAAGAGGCUUAGCAGCUUCUUCAAUUUUAUGAAUUAUCUCAUUGGCAGGGCAUUUGGAUGUGAACCUUGUUUCUCUCUUAAAUCCCUGCAAAUUUUGAACAAAACUGAAGUUUUAUUUUCCCAUAGGACAAAACAAUAGUAAAUAAUAUCAGAAGAAAACAAAUGCCUUUCAUACACAAAUGACAUUUAAAAAAAAAAUUAUUUCAACAUUUCACAAUGCAUGCAGUCCCCAUAAAGUGUUACAGGCAUAAAACUAUGCACAGCACAUGUUGCUAAUGAAAGCCAGCAAGCCCUCUAAUGAAGCAAACCUGUUCUACAUCAAACAAAUUCCCAAGGUUGAGCCCCUUCGACAUUGAAAUUAACUCAAAAGCAUUCAUAGCUACUGGUUGUUCUUCCUUUUUUUCCGUCACAUGGUGCUCCUGUCAUGAAGCCAAGAACACGUAUCAGACAACUUUUAGAACAGCAGCACUUCCUUCUAAUUCUUAACUUUUAACAAUGCUUAGCAACCAAAGACGUAAAUAAAAACCUUAAUACUGAUUAUGAAAAAAGCACUUGCACAUACUUCUGAAUCCUUAAAAACAGCUUCUACAUCAUCCAAGUUUGUAUUUUCUUUCUCCUCAAACACGGGUGCCUUGUAAUCCUUCUUGAACCAUUCAUCUUCCAAAAUUUCAGCAAUAGUGACACGCUGCCAUAACAAAUGAAAUCAUAGUCACCAACUAAAUAUUUGGUGGUAAGAGCACAUUCAGGGUAAUUCAAUACAAAGAAUUGGUCUGUGAUGAAUUCAGUGUUCUGGAAACCACUUGAAGAGUGCCACGAAGCAGACACUUUUCUUGUCAAGAAAAAAGAAGGCUCGGGAAAGAAUUAACAGCAUCUGGUCAUAUACAUGCUCAAUAUACUCAAACAAUCAGAUUGAUGCAUAUGAAUUAUGAAGAAAACCUUGCCCUGCUUUGAGCACUACCUCAGCAAUCUUCGUUUUGCUUUUUAUCAUGCCUCACCAGUAUAAACAUCAAAUACAUAAAAGAUAAAAUUAUCUGGAAUUCUUUAAUGCUAUGUUUGGAUGAGGAACUUCUAAAUUCUUAUUGUAACCUAAGUCCUAUGCACUAUAAAUAGGACUUAGGGUUAGUGUAUUUAGUGUGGCUCAUUCGUGUGGCAAUUUGGUGAGAGUCAAUUUGUGAGUUUGUGAGUUAGAUAGCAAUUUGGGAGAAUCUUCUCUGUUUGUUUGAGUUCUCUACUCGUUUGGUUUAGGGUUUGUAAUUUGUGGGAUUUGGGUUGUGAGAGUUUAAACACUCUUUUGUAAUCUCCAUUUGUUUUGUGAAAUUCCUCGCCGUGCUUCGCUCGUGGACGUAGGCUUUACGCCGAACCACGUAAAUCUCGUGUUAGUUUGAGAUUGUUUGUUUUAGCUUUCACCUACGACGUUGAUAUUGGUACUUUGUUAGAAUUCGCUUCCGUUUGCGCAUAAAAGUACAACACAUCUAACAUUAUGUUUUAAAAUGAAUAUGAAUCACCACCAUGUGUAAGUUACGAAAAGUGAAGCUAUAUUAUCAAAUAUAUCAAUUAGCAGAAAGGCCACAAUCUUAUCAACAGAAUGUGCAUAAACUACUUACAGUCAUAGGGUUAGGAUCCAAAAUUCGAGCUAUUAAUUUCAUGGCACCAAAAGAGAGCCACGGGGGACAAGUAAACUCAGCUGCCGAGAUCUGCAUACAUAGCAAAAGAAGAUAAUAAACUGAAUAUGAACAACGACGAUAUGUAGUUGCCAUACAGAAUCAGUAAAAUGCUCACUUUUUUAUACAGGUUCAUAAGAUUCGAAUCAUCAAAAGGCAAGUAACCUGCAAGCAAUACAAAGAGUAUCACUCCACAUGACCACAAGUCCGCAGUUGCCCCAUCAUAGCCUCUAUCGUUAAGGACCUAAGCUCACAGGAGUACAUUUUUGCAUGAUUAAGGACCAACGGUGUAUAAAGAUAAAUAUAUAUAAUGUGGAAGAAGAUUGGAAUGAAUACUUAUCCAUACCUCAGGAGCAACAUAAUUUGGAGUUCCACAGGUGGUGUGAAGUAACCCAUCAUCCUGCCAAUGCGUCACAGUAAGAAAUAAAUUCUGAAUAUUUAAGAUGCAUCAUCUCAAUCCCAAAUGCACCAAUUACUAGAACAAGAUGUGAAUGUGCAUCGCAGAUUACAGUGUUGAUGUAAAUGAUAAAUGAGGGAGAGACUAAAUUCCAUAUAACUCCUAUCAUAUAAAUGUUCUAACAAUUUUAAUAAUUUCUAGAGAUUUGACACCUGCUUCUGCAAAUAGUUACUUAAAGAUAUUUAUGCCGACCAUCCAGACAACAAAACUAACAUCAAUAAGAUAAAACGAUAGUUAUAUAUGAAUGAUGAAAGAAAGUUAAUUGCAGAUGGCCUAAUAUCAUUUAUACCCUGACUUGUUGGGAUAGUGCGCUCAAUCCGAAAUCAGAAACUUUAAGGUUCCCAUAUGCAUCCAAUAGCAAAUUUUCUGGCUGCAAGAAAAGCAAUGAAAAUGAAAAUUUAUUAACAUUUUACUGUAUUUAUCUGUGAUAUGCACGUUUACUAAGCAUAAGUACCUUGAGAUCUCUAUGAUAGACGCCUCUGCUAUGGCAGUAAUCAACUGCAUUAAUAAGCUGUUGAAAAUAUCUCCGUGCUUCAUCUUCUUUCAUUCGUCCAUUGUUUACCUUCAUAUCAAAAGUACUCGUGAGAAAAUAUGAACUCUCUCCCAAAUAAUCAGCGGAGCUUGAAUUUGAUUGGGUCAACAGAUCCAUGUACACAAAUUAGUGAGCAAGGCAACUUGGUAAUUGAAGAGAAUUUAGGCUAAAUGGGAAUGUUAGACUGCAGUAUUAAUUACAGUAUGUGAUUUAUUUUAGUAAAUUGAUAAUAAACCAUUUAUAGAAUACAACUGGAAGAAAAUGAAGACACUAACAAUUUUGUCAAAGAGCUCGCCUCCAGUUACGAACUCCAUAACUAUAAAUAUCUUUGUCUUACUCCCCAUUACCUGAAAAUACACAAAAUUAUUAAUACAGUUGCAUCAAAAUGUAGCGCCACUUUUACUGGUAGUAAAUGGAUUCAUCUUUCCCUUACAGGACACUUGUAUUUGCUCCAUAUUGACAUGAGGAGGGUAGAAUCCACAGAAAUGAGAGUAUUUAACACUCUACCCAUUAAAGAUUAAUACAUGCAACGGAAAUUGGUGACUAAAGUCUUGUUAAUAAUCUCAGCUGUAAAUUAUUAACAACUUCUUAUAAAGGUACCCGCAACGUGAUGUAAGAGGAUAUAGUUUUAAACAUUAUGGAUCAUGAACCAUAAAUAAGAAAGAAUUGGCUUCCCUAAUAAACUUCAGAACCUAUGGCUAACAAUUGAAAUCCAAAUUAUCAACUACCAAAAAAUACAACGAACCAGAAGAGGAAUUAAAAACUUAAAGAUGACACUGAAAUUGAAAUGUCACAGUUCAAAAUAAAAUCUGAUUGGAUUAGAUUUUUAACAACGGGCAAGCAUCCUUUAAGGCACGUCUUGAAGGGAUAGUGUAGCAACUUUAGGGGAAAAACAGAAAUAAGUUGGCCAUAUUCCCACAUUAAAUUGUGAACAUCCAUAUACCAAGAAGACCUACUUCAGAGAACCUGCAAGGUGAAUAUAGAAAGCAAACAGACCACAUGCUCAUGCAAGUAGAAGCAGAAAUGCAUAUAUACAGAUAGAGAUUGAGAGAGACCUCAUACAACUGAACAACAUUUGGAUGCUUAAUCAGCUUCAUUGUUUCUAUUUCCCGCUUGAUCUGCGCAAAUAUGAAAAAUAACACACUUAAAAGGACCUUGUUUAAACUCACUCCGUUUCCUGGAUGAAGCUACAUAAAAGUUUCGUUGGGGAGUUGUCUAGAGUGGUUUUGAGGAUAGGAAGCAAGAAUCCAUAUAAACCAAUAAAUAACAUGAAAAACAAAAACAAGUACAAGACGGAGAACGAAGAGAAAGCGCAAAGCAAACAGACCUGUUCUGCCAUCUUGUGCUUCAGAACCUUCUCUUUGUCAAGAAUUUUGAGAGCCACAGGCUCCCCAGUCUCAGAAUUUCUAGCAAACUUGACUUUUGCAAAUGUACCCUCACCGAUUGUCCUUCCAAUCUCGUAUUUACCAACCCGACGCUUGAUUUUCGGUUGAUUCAUUCUCGACUUAGUGAUUCAACGUGCGGGUUCCUGAGAGAACUUGCGUGAAAGAUAGAUGAGUGAAUUUUUUUUGUGACACUGUAAUGAAAUGAACAAAGCGAGGAGCAGAAACACUAGAACCAUAUCAUCAAGGGAAUUGCAAUUAUAUCAUCACAGUUGAGAUCCGAAUCCUGAUCCGAACUCUGGUAAAUUUAGAUUGAAAAACCAAACCAUGCAAACAAGAAUUCAGACAAGAACAAUACCGUCCACAAAAAUCACAAAGAAAACAAUCAAUCGAAGCAUCCAAUUCCACUACUAACCCAAAAUUAAUUAAAUUAAUUGUAUUUAUCAAUUCAAACAUGGAGUUGCAGCAGCAGCAGAAACACAAGCCCAGUACCGGAAACACAAACAAGGCACCCAAAUUGCAAAAACCCUUGCAAACAGAGACAAUAAAAUCUUCAAAUUCUUCGGGAGCAGCUCACAGACUGAGCGAUGAUAUUAUUUAUGCAUCUAUGACGUGAACCAACAACCACAAUUCAUCAAAUAUAUAUUUAAUUUAAUAAAUUAAUAAUACAAGGAAAAGGAAUUAGACGAAGAAAUAAAUAAUAAUAAUUCUCUUUAUUAUUAAAGAAUAUAAUACAAUAAUCAUCACGUUCCCGUUCACGUGGAUGGUCAUAUUAUUAUUGUAAACAAAAGCGAUAAAAAGUCGAAAAGAAAGACAGAGGGAGACAAUGAUUCAAUACAUACUUGAACAGGUUAUGACCACAAUCAAUCCGCCGCCGCCCCCGCCGCCUGGAUUUCCGUCCGUCCUUCCUUCCUUCCUCCUCGGCUGCCUGGAAAUGCAAUCACUUCACUUUUCACUUCACUACCAGACAACUCAAUUACUAGUAGGCUCACCAGACUAGACUCGAUUCCUUCUCUCUUCUAUCACUUUUCUUUUUUCUCUUUUUUUUUUUUCCUUUUCACUUAUCUUUGUAUUUUUGUGUAUAUAUUAUAAAAUAAAUUAUAUAUUAUAUUUAAUGAGGAAAAUGAAUAAUUGCGUCCUGUAUGGGACCCAGACCAGGUCGAGGUCCAUGCGUUGUGCGUUGUGCUUUGUGCGGUGUUGUACACCACAGUACAGCUUGCUUUCGCAUUCUAUCCGACUAUCGACUAUUGUAUAUAAUAUAUAAUGUGGUUUUUCGUGUUUAAUUGUAAAAAAAAAAUCAAAAUGGUAUAUAACCGUAUAAUAUACAAUGAACGGAUAUAAGAAUCAUAAGAAUUAUGGACAGAGUCAAUAAAGACCCACUAAAAACAUAUGCCCCAAAAGCACUUUUGUUGUGUCAUUCAAACUAAAAAACUUUUCUCCUGCUUUUCAUGUUUUAAUAUUUUCUCAUCAAUUUGUCACUUUUCAUUAUUACAUUGAAACUUUUGUAAAACAUUAUCAUUUAAAAUCAUUCUCAUUAUCAUAUUAAAUAUAAGUCAUACUAUAAUAAAAUUUUCUAAGUUAUUUUUCAGAAAGGGAAACUAAUGGAAAGGGUUUGAAAAUUUUAAGUUUUAAUGAUAAUGACAAAAUAAAGGGUAAAUUGAAUAGUACCAAGAUUGACUUUUUAAUGUAAAAAUGUGAUUUUUCCUUAAAGUAAAUAGUACUAAAUGCUUUUUGUAAAGUUUGGAAGCAUCCCCACUAAAAAUAAUUUAUAAUUUGAUUCUUAAUAAAAAUUCUCAUUGUUAGAAUCCGGAUGAGAUGUAAAUCUGCUUUUGUUUGUUUUUCCGGUCGAAGCUUCGUUUGUUGUGGAGCUCUCUCUCUUGAUAGAGGAUAGACUUGUACAGGACCCAAACCUAUUAAAUACCCUUCUCUCUCUUCGUUGAAGUUGAAGUUGACGUCUACGUCAUCACAUCGGCUACAUUUUUUUUUCUUUUUUUUUUUUUAUGCACUUGUGUUCCGUUUCUUCUUUCCUCUCUUUAGAUAUUUUUUUUUCCAGACCGCUUUACUCUUCAUUCAUCAAAACUACAUGAUCAAAAAAUCAUUUUUCCACUCUUAUCUGCAACAACAGUAUAAAUUAGUUUAGGGCUUUAUUUUUAAAUACUCUUUGAAAGUUAAUUUCAAUUUUAUUUUGUGCUCUGUAAUUCAAAAAUUAUUACUUUAUUUCUUGAAACUUAAAAUUCGUUCCACUUUAUUAUGUUUUUGUUUCUUCAAUCAAAUAACAGUUAGUUAAUGUUUUGAUCACAAUUGUCCCUUGAAACUCGAUUUUGAUCCCACUUUAUCCUUGAAACUCAUUUAGAAUCCGUUAUUAUAUGUUUGCUCUAGUUUUUGUUGUUUUUUAUGUUGUAACGGUUUUUCUUUAUCCAUGGGCAAUGAGUUUCGAUGUAUUGGGAGUAUCCGUAUUCAUAAAAGAUUUACUUUUCGUGCUUAUCCUAAUAGUUGGUUCAAUUUAUGCAUGGCGAAAAGGACCAUCAUAAUAGUCUUAGCUCUUAAAUAGUCAUUAACCAAUAAAAAAAAAAAAAAUUGAGACAGUUAUGACUUACAUUAUUUAAUUUCCUUUACAUGAUCGAACAACCCAAAAUUCAAUUAUUUCAAACUACAUCAAGUGAUCUUUCAAAUUGGUAAAGACUCUCCGGUUUAUAAGCGUUACUUCUUGAAAUUCAAUAUUCGCUACACUUUUACUUGUGCACUCUCUCUCUCUCUAUUCUCCCUGAAACUCAAAAGUCGUCCUCUUGAACAUAUGUGGGACCCACCACCAAAAAGAUUAUGACACAUGUAUCAAUGAAUUUCAUUAUAAAUCUCAAUUAUGCGUUAACAUUCAAUAAUAAAAAAAAAUUAAUUUAAAAGAAAAAUUGGAGUCAUUAUAAACCUCCAUUAUGUGUUAACAUUCAAUAAUAAAAAAAAUUAAUUUAAAAGAAAAAUUGGAGUUUUUUUUGUUGUUGUGCUUGAGUUGCAGAGAUGAAAAAAAAAUAAAAAGAAACUGAUUAGCCAGGUGCGCCAAAAUUAAACCCACAUAAAGGAAUUUGCUAAAAUUCCCCAGAUAGCAAAUCAAUCUUAGAGAAUAAGAGAGAGGGACAGGUUGGGUUGAAAGUAAGGAAGAAAGGAGGGAGUUCUCCCCGGCGAGAUGGGGUUGGUAGACGCCAGGAAACCGUUCUCAUCCUGUGGGUUUUGGUUCGCCACGUUACCUCUUUUUUUCACAUAUGCAUUUCUUAAUCCACGUCAGCAUAAUUGAUGGCUUUUUAACGAAAUUAACAUAAUUAAAGUAAUGUGAAGCAAAUUUUGAGGUUUAUGGAGUAAAAUGACGAUUUUUUAGUUUCAAAUGGCAAAGUGUGAUCAAAAUCGAGUUCCAGAUGGCAAAAUAAAAUCAAAAUAGCAACUUUAGUGACUAUAUAAAAAAGAAACGUAAACAUGGUAAAAUGAAGCGAAUUUUGAGUUUCAAGAAAUAAAGUGACAACUUUUGAUUUAUAGGGGUAAAGUGAGAUUAAAAUCAAAUUCUAAAGGGUGUAGUUAAAAAUAAGCAUGUUUGGGCUCAAAAUAUUAGUUUGGGCCGAGUAUAGAAUUAUUCUCGGCCCAGAAGGCCUUACGACAGGGUUCAGUUCUCAGGGAUCGGUUAGUUCUGGACCGGUUAGGUCGUGGGCUUCCAAAUCUGGGUCGGUUAUGCCAAGCCGCAAGACGAGUCGAAUCCUGGUGCAAUGAGGAGUCUCGGUAAGAUCAAUAACCCGGAAGUGAAUCCGGCUCAAUAAAGGAAUAGGUUCACAAUUAUGGUGAAAGUAGGACUGGUCGAGUGGUGUUUGAUCAGGAGAAGGAGUCCUAAUCCGAGUAGGGUUUUAACUCAACCUUGAAGGUAUCCGGUGCUAUAAAUAGAGGAGGUUGUGCAUCAUUCAAGCCUCUCCAAUUCAACACAUAACUGCCAUGCGCAAACUCUCUCAACAACUUUGAGAUUUUUAUUUUCUCUUUUCGCUGACACAUCUUCCGUUGGCAUCAACAGCACUGUGAAAGCAACCGGUGACAUCUUAAACCGGCAUAGAUAGCUCUGUCGCCGUAGAAUCAGUCGAUCUCCCAGCAUCUUCCGUUGGCAUCAACAGCACUGCGGCGAAGAUGGUUGGUUACUUAUCCAAGUCUCGGUUGAGAAGGAUUUCCGAAUCGUUAUUGACUGAGGUCAUCUCAUUAGCCUUCUCGACGAAGUGAGGUGUUACAAUUUACUGAACUCGGCGCAUUGCACGCCGAGUGAUUUUAUGAUUAAAUACUCUCAAGUGGGAUUUAGAGUUCAGUAUUCAGACGGCCGAACCACAUUUACUAUUAAGACUUAUAUUCUCUUUGAGUAUUUGUGCCCUUACACUUUGGUGUCGAUUCGGCGUGAGUUUACUCUGACGAAUAACAUCACUGUGACAGAAUCCGACGACGGCGAUUCGUGAACUUCGUAAGAAUAGUAGCCUUGUCUUCAGGUUCGAGAACCCAAGAGGCCGAGACGUGUUCCUUCCUCGGUCACAAUCGCAAGACGCAGAAGUCAGUCGCGCGCCCGACGCAACAUCAACAAAUUUACUCCUCGGCCGAGCUCGACCGACAAGUUGGCAUGCUCCGCAUUCACCGAUGGACGUAGUUAGUUUAUAGAUUACUCGGCCUGCACGCCAUGUAGGUUUGGUAGUUGUUAGGGUCAAUAUUUUGGCACACCCGGUGGGACCCAGUGCUAAACUACGAAGUUCAUGCCAAUUGAAACACGAUCGGUAAAAAAGAAAACAGCUAUGGGAAAAUCAACAGCCGAUUUACCAAUUCAGAAUAUAGGACACAGUGUGCCACAGGCGCAGAAUCCCAUCAGCGCCGUAACACCUGAGUCCACGAGCGCGACUCGCCGACAAAGGAAAGUUAAUCUCGGCGGUCAGUUUCGCAGUCUUGAAAUCGCUGACAAGAACACCUGCGUUCUCAAUGAAGGGAUAAUAGAGGAUUGUGACGAGGAUGGAGGCGAAGGAUAUGAUCCACCAACAAGGUCAUUUCUUCAAAAACGGCUUGACGAGCAAUCUCGAACGAUUGAACAGACGUUUAGUCGAGGAAUCGAUAAACUUCAUGACGUGAUACGUAAUACCAGUGAGGCACAAACCAGAUUACUCGAAAUACUGGUUAGUAAGGUCAGCGACGGUAGGACUUUCGAUCUUGCCCAGCAUUUGCCACCGAGAAAUAAUCUACUACCAAGUGCACCGGCCAAGUCAAUCCCUGCUCGGCUCAAACCAAUUAACUUGAAGAAAGGAGGAGGAUCGAAUAGUAGGUCAGACGGAUCCGACCAGAGAGUGGAAGCAACACCCGUCGAUAUGACUGAGGUCCAACGGAUAAUCGAUUCGGCCAUGAAGAAAGGGCCGAAGUUCCCUAAGUUUAUACAUUUGUAUCCAGCUUAUGUGGAACAGUUCGAAUACCCUAGAGGUUUCAAAAUCCCGGAUUUUAGCCUUUUUGCCGGAGAAUCAUCUUUAUCCUCGUUAAAACAUAUAGCUCGUUUCACAGCGCAAUGCGGAGACGUCAAUAGCGACUUUCACAAGCUGCGCCUUUUCAAUUUUUCGCUGACCGAUUCAACGUUUGCUUGGUAUAUCAACCUCCCACCGAAUUCCGUCCAAAGCUGGGAGGAGUUGGUCGAGAAAUUUCAUGAGCAGUUUUAUCGGCUGGGGAUGGAAAUGUCAGUAUCCUCGCUAGCAAGGAUGUCUCAGGCAUCCGACGAGUCACCAAUGGAUAAUCUUACCAGAUUUAAAUCAGCCAGGAAUUGGUGCUGAGUACCUCUCCCUGAAGUCGAAUUCGUCAGACUUGCUCUAAACGGUCUUAACGUCGAAUACAAAAAGAAAUUCUUAAGGGCAAACUUUCGAGAUAUGUAUGAACUAGCCCAACAUGUUGAGCAGUAUGAUUAUUUGCUCCGCGAGGAAAAAUUUUCGAAAGCUCCAUCUCGAGGAACGAUUUACAAGAAUCCCACUGUCAAUUAUGCAUCGACCGAAGAUGAAUGCGUUAGCGUGGAUGCGGCUGAGAUAGUGAUAGAUAAGCCAUACAUUUGCAAAGCGCUGACUCAAGUUGACUCUAAGGAAGUCAAAACCCGCUCGACCACUGAAGAAACACUGAAAACGUCAAAAGUCUAUACUUUUGAUAUUACAAAGGCCGAUGCAAUUUUUGAUCAAUUGUUAUCAGCGAGGAUCAUCAAACUUCGGCCUGGGCAUAACAUUCCCAAGGCCGAAGAGCUUAAAGGAAAGAUAUAUUGCAAAUACCAUAAUUCAAGCAAACACACGACAAAUAAUUGCGUCGUGUUUCGAGAUAACAUCCAAAGCUGGAUUGAUAAUGGCAAACUUAGAUUUCCGGAGAAGAAGAUGAGUGUUGAUACUGACCCAUUUCCCAUGGCAACAGUAAAUAUGGUAGAUGCACACUUACCUAAGGACAAAGGAAAAGGGAAGGCCGAAGCCGUUACAACGCAACACUUUUUGAAUCAGAAUCCUCGGCCCCGUUUCACUGCCGAUUUCUGUUCAAACAAACCACAUACAGUUCUAACGGGACCUGCUACUGUUAAGCCUAUGACAAAAUACAGCACUGACGAAGAAGGUGGGUCGGCGCUGUUAUGCAGAAAGUGUAAAGCAAAUGUCAAUACCAAGCCAAAAGAAAAGUUAUCUCCGACUAUAGUGGAACAACCUACGGCCUCAACACAGCAAAAGGUGGUCAAUGUAGGCCAACACCAAGGAGUUUUUGAUAGGCUCGCCCUAAAGUGCAGGUGGAAGAAACAUCUCUGGUCAGACGGCGCCUUGAUUUUGAUGCCCCGUUUUAUGACAAAGAUUAUUACGUCCGCAAUUCUAGCAAUUCGGAAUCAUCAAAAAGCUAAAAAACUUUCAAACCUCCCGAACCUCGGGACCAGUAUUGGUAUACGUAUCACUCUUCGAAAUGUGUAUACACCGCAUUGUCCAAAUCCCAGAAACGUCGGCACCAAAGAAUAGACUGCAUGGCGCGCCGACGGGCAGCCCAAGAAGCUUCGAUCCCUAAAUGGUGGCCAAAGGAAACAGUUGCCAACGAUGAUGAACAACCAUAUCCAACUAUUAUGACAGAGCUGGUUCAAGGGAAACGGCUAGUCAAUCGAGAUGUUGAAACCAUAUUUGAAGAGGCUGAUAAACGAAUCAAACUUCUUCUUCGGCCCGGAGAAAUGAAGGCAUGCUUCGAGCAUUUCAAGAAAGAAGCUGAAAACAAACUGUCCCCGCCAACCACACAAAAACCUUUGAUCAAAAUUUGACGAAAUUUACAUCCGCCAUUUCUCAUGAAGGCCUUGGAAUAUAUGCGAGAAUUUCAUAAAAAACAUUCGGCCAACAAUUUAUAUGGUUUGUCGAAAGCGUGUCAAGAUACAAUCGAUCUCGUCCUCACUUGCUCGGAUGCCAAGCAAAUUAUUCAGAAUACCUCAGACCUAGGAUUGAAAGCUAGGUUCCAGCACAUACGAGAAGCUCGUGUUCUUGGCUUUGAAGUCAACCCAUAUACUGAUAUCGAUACAGCCGACCUUCCUUUUUCCAUGGAGGACCUUCAAUAUUUACGAUACCACUUCGAAGUUUUUUCGGCCGUUUCUCUCUUCGGCCUCACGGCCGAUGAAAUAACACGAGUUACACGGUUGGAUGCCUAUCUCAACACCAGGGAUGCCCGUAUAAUGUACCAAGAGCAAGCUCGUAUCCUGGCAUCAAUCCCAGACACAAUUCCGAUUUCAGACGCACCUGCGGCACCUGCACAGAACAACCAGGCUUCCGAAGAGACACUGCGGGAACAAACCAUUGAAGAAAGAGCAGAAGAGUCUCUUAGUACUACUCUGCCGUAAGUAGACGCCGCAAUCGAUGACCAGGAACGAGAAGAGAUGGAAGAGGGUGAUGGUAACCCAAUGGGCCCGUCGGUCCUAGAUAACAUGGAAAUAAGCAUGGUUCAUGUUUUACCUGCUGAUUUUCAGUCAAGCACAUCUCAACGGAAUUUCCUCGAUGGUGACGUAAUCUUCUUUAACAGUCAUGCAAUUAAAAAUCAAAUCCUCAUCAUUGUGUUGGAAGGUACCCUAAGACACAAACAAACACACAAAAAUAACUCUUUUUGGGUUUUUCAAAACAAUUUUUCAAAUUUUUAUGAGUUUUCGGAUUUUUAUGUCAAAACACAGUAAAAUGCACCAAAACAGCUUAAAAACACUUAAAAACAGCAAGGAACAACUUUGGAAGUUAUGGGUGAUAAAAUCCCACGAAUUUGCAAUAAAAACACUUGUUUACCCCCCACACUUAGACCAAACAUUGUCCUCAAUGUUUCAAACAUAGACUCACACAUAUGCAAGCAAACAACACAACUAACAAACACGACAAACAUGGCAAAGUAAAAACAAGAAAGGGCAGAGUUUAAGAACGCAAAUCUGGUUAUGGAGCUCGAAUUCCUUCAAUCCCUCGUUAGAACUCAUGGGUUGCCUCCCAGGAAGCGCUUGCUUUAACGUCUUCCAGCCGGACGAUACCUCCAUUUAAGCUUGAAUAGGGCCCACGGCAUGGAGGGGUAUGUCCUCCACGGCAUGCUCCUCAAAUGUCUCAUAGUAGGGCUUCAAACGGUGUCAAUUGACCUUGAAUUCAUGUCCCGUCUUCAAACUUUGAAUUUGGACUGCACCAUGAGGAAAAACAUUAGUAAUAACAAAAGGUCCAAUCCAUUUAGAACGCAACUUACCCGGAAACAACUGAAGAUGGGAAUUGAAGAGUAACACUUUCUGCCCUAUAGAGAAUGUCUUGCCACGAAUCAUCUUGUCAUGGGUGGCCUUUGCUUUCUCUUUAUAGAUGAGAGUAUUCUCAUAAGCUUCAUUCCUAAUCUCCUCAAGCUCAUUCAAUUGCAAUUUCCUAUUGAUCCCAGCGGCAUCAAUGUCCAUAUUGAAUGUUUUGACGGCCCAAUGUGCACGAUGCUCCAAUUCAACCGGAAGAUGACAUGGUUUCCCAUAGAUGAGCUGAAAUGGGGACAUCCCAAUUGGUGUUUUGUAGGCCGUUAUAUAUGCCCACAAUGCAUCAUUUAAACGCAAGCUCCAAUCUUUUCGAGUUGGUCCCACUGUUUUCUCCAAAAUUUGCUUGAUUUCCCUAUUCGAAACCUCGGCUUGCCCACUUGUCUGAGGAUGAUAAGGUGUGGAAACCUUAUGCGUGACAUUGUACUUCUUGAGCAACGCCUCAAUGGUUCGAUUACAAAAAUGGGAUCCUCCAUCACUAAUGAGCACUCUUGGCAUUCCAAACCUUGCAAAUAUGUUAGUUCUAAUAAAAUCUGCAACCACUUUAGAAUCAUUAGUACGGGUGGCUUUUGCUUCCACCCAUUUCGAAGCAUAAUCCACCGCAAGUAAUAUAUAAAGAAAACCAUGGGAGGACGGAAAUGGACCCAUGAAAUCUAUACCCCAAACAUAAAAAAUCUCAAUAGAAUAUAUAGGAUGUUGCGGCAUUUGGUCUUUUGAUGUUAUAUUACCCAUUCUUUGACAACGAUCACAGGUUAGACAAAAGGUUCUAGCAUCUCUAAAGAUUGUAGGCCAAUAAAAUCCACAUUCUAAAACCUUAUGUGCUGUGCGUUGUGUGCCGAAAUGACCCCCACAUGCAUAAGUGUGACAGAAAGUUAAAAUCGAAUGAAAUUCAGAAUCAUGCACACACCUACGUAGAAUCUGGUCAGGGCAAUGUUUCCACAAAUAAGGGUCAUCCCAAACAUAAAACUGUGCAUCCUUCUUGAGUUUAUCACGUUGGUGCUUAGUUAGGGUGCUUGGGACAUGCUUAGUGACCAAAUAAUUAACUAGAUCGGCAUACCAUGGCUCACUUACCUUAAUGGACAGCAACUGCUCAUCUGGGAAUGUCUCUGGGAUGGGCACGGCAUUGGCAUCUUCUUCAUGCACCAUUUGGCUCAAAUGGUCAGCCACCACAUUUUCACUUCCUUUCUUGUCCCGGAUUUCCACGUCAAACUCUUGGAGAAGUAACAUCCAACGAAUAAGCCUUGGCUUGGCCUCUUUCUUUGUGAGCAAAUACUUCAAAGCUGCGUGAUCAGUGUAAAUAAUAACUUUAGUUCCAAGAAGAUAUGAACGAAACUUAUCUAAAGCAAAUACAACAGCAAGAAGUUCUUUUUCAGUGGUGGAAUAAUUCAAUUGUGCAUCAUUCAACGUCCGGGAUGCAUAGUAGAUGACAUGUGGCUUCUUGUCCCUCCUUUGUCCUAAAACAGCCCCUAAUGCAUAAUCUGAAGCAUCACACAUAAGCUCAAAGGGAAGGCUCCAAUCUGGUGGGACUAUGAUGGGGGCCGAAGUUAGCUUCUCCUUUAGGCGAUUGAAUGCCUUCUCACACUCAUCAUCGAACUUGAAUGUCACAUCCUUUUGAAGAAGUCGGCAAAGGGGUUGGGAAAUCUUGGAAAAAUCUUUGAUGAAUCGCCUAUAGAAUCCUGCAUGUCCAAGAAAAGAACAAACCUCUAUCACUGAAGUGGGAGAGGGUAAGUAGCGUACAAGAUCUAUUUUUGAUUUAUCAACCUCUAUUCCCUUUGCAGAAACUAUGUGACCUAAAACUAUGCCUUGUUUAACCAUAAAGUGACAUUUUUCCCAAUUCAAAACAAGGUUAGUUUCAAUGCACCGGUUUAAGAUUAAAGUGAGAUUAUCUAAACAGCCAUCAAACGAAUCACCAAAGACACUAAAAUCAUCCAUGAAAACCUCAAUAAUCUUUUCCACAAAAUCUGAGAAUAUACUUACCAUGCAUCGUUGGAAUGUGGCUGGUGCAUUACACAAACCGAAUAGCAUUCGACGAUAAGCAAAAGUGCCAAACGGACAAGUAAAAGUAGUCUUUUUCUUGAUCAUCUGGAGCUAUAACAAUUUGAUUAUAUCCCGAAUAACCAUCUAGAAAGCAAUAAAAAGAAUGACCGGCUAACCUUUCAAGCAUUUGAUCAAUGAACGGUAAAGGGAAGUGGUCCUUCCUUGUGGUGGCGUUUAGCUUCCUAUAGUCAAUGCACACUCACCAACCGGUUUGGAUACGUGUAGGCACAAGCUCAUUCUCUGCAUUCUUCACCACGGUGACUCCUGAUUUCUUUGGUACAACUUGAACUGGUGAAACCCAAUGACUAUCUGAGAUGGGGUAAAUGACUCCACAAUCAAGAAGCUUGAUAAUCUCCUUCUUCACAACUUCCAUCAUUGGAGGGUUAAGUCGACGUUGAGCAUCUCGAGUUGGUUUAGCCCCCUCCUCUAGAAGUAUGCGAUGCAUGCAAGUUGUAGGGCUAAUUCCCUUAAUGUCGGCCAAUGUCCAUCCAAUUGUCGUUUUAUGCUCUUUUAACACCCGAAUCAACUUCUCCUCCUCCAAUGUCGUGAGUGAUGAGGAAACAAUGACGGGCAAUGUCUCGUCAUCUCCCAAAAAUACAUACUUUAAAUGGUCCAGCAACGGUUUAAGCUCAAGGACGGGUGCCUGAAUCACAGAAGGUAACAACUUGUUAGUAGAAACGGGAAUGGGAAUUGGGUUAGGAGGCUUACCAAGAUGUUGUGGCAAUGACUCAAGGGCAGCAACCAUCUCUUCUAUUUCUGCACUAGGAGGCACGGCAUAGGCAUCAUUAUUCUUGCCGUGAGUUUGCUCACUUGCUGCCUUUGGUUUGUUAAGUCCCAUUCCGUGUACUAUGGUGGUUUCAAGAGGAUCCCUCUCCAAUGAGUCAAGGUAGUCCUGCGCCAAAGCAUCAAAUACAUCAAUAGAGAAACAAGAAUGAUUAUCCUUAGGAUAUUUAAUAGAUUCAGAAAUAUUGAAAGCAAUAACAUCCCCAUCAAAUUCCAUUGUAAGUGUUCCUUUAAACACAUCUAUCUUGGUGCGAGCUGUUUUCAUGAAGGGUCUUCCAAGGAGGAUCGGCAAUGAUAUGGAAUGGCCCGAAUCUUCCAUCUCAAGCACAUAGAAGUCCGCUGGAAAUACUAAGUCAUUAACCUGCACCAAAACAUCUUCCAAAACCCCUUUCGGGUAUGCAUUAGAACGAUCGGCUAAUUGAAUUAUAACACCAUCGUUUUUAAGCUCUCCUAGGUUCAUAGAUGCAUAAAUAAAGUAGGGCAUGACGUUAAUGGAUGCACCUAGAUCUAACAUCGCAUGCUCAAACUUGGUAUUUCCAAUAACACAAGGAAUUGUAAAACUACCUAGAUCUUUGCAUUUUGGUGGUAGUUUUCUUUGCAAAAUGAUAGGAGCAUAUUUAUGCGCCUUAGUUAGUUAGUUCUUAUGCAUUUAUGUUGUGUUUUCUUAGUUAAAUUAGUCUUUUAAGCUAUUUUCAUGUGUUUUCAGGUUUUAGAGACAAAGUGAGCAAAAGGAAGCAAUUUGGAGCAUUUUGGAGCAAAAUUGGGCUAGAAUGGAGUUCAUGCAUAUGUAGCACAAGGGAUGGACGAAUUUGAAGGAUUGAUGAAGCUAGGAAUGUGUUUUGAAGUUGAAGAAUUGAAGAUACAAAGUUUCCUAGUUGAAGUAGGAAAGGGCUUACACGAAGAAUUCCUAAAUGGAGAAGGAUUCCUAAUCAAUGUAGGAGUCCUAAAUGAAGAUGGAUUCCUAGAGACAUGAAGUUUCCUACUCAAGCAAGGUUUCCUACAUGAAGAAGAAGAAUUAAAGCCAAAGAAUCAGCUCAAGAUAAGGAAUCUAUCCAAAACCUCAUCAUAACCUUAUCUUAGCUUAACUUAUCCAAACAAACCUUAUCCUAUCUUAUCUUAUCCUAAUCCUAAAUUAUCCACAUUCCAGCCACUUAGGAGGGUUUCUAACUAGAUUAGGAUGCUUAAAAUGGGAUUUCUAGAAGACCUAAUCCUUUCCUACAAAGGUGCCACACCUUAUCCCUUGUUUUUCUAGAAAUCAGCCACAAAAUAACCUUUCUAGAAGGCCUUAUCCCUUCUCCUACAAAAGUGACGCCCCAAACCUUUCUAGGACUCCUAGAAACCUGAUUAUUCCUUUCCCCCUUGGUUUCUAAAAGCCUUAGCCUUUUCCUUCAAGGAUUGUGUGUUAUUAUCCUAUACAAAUUAGGCUUUUAAAUCCUUUUCCUUUGCUACAUAGGGGCUGCGAAUUUCAGCCUAUAAAUACCACCCUUUGCUGCACCAUUUAGUCACCCUCCUCUACCAUAUUUUCACUACACCAUUCACCCAAACAUCCCUCAUUGUGCCGUGAGUUUGCAAGGAAAAGAAGGAAGAACUCUUGGAGCCGUGCAUGCCAUUCAAGGAGCUUGGAUUGUGGAGCGAUUCUAGGUGUUUUCUAUCUUUGUUAGAAUGUUUAAAUUUAUUUAUCUUUGUUUAUUUGCGAACAUGAGGAACUAAUUUCUUUAUAGUUAGAGGGGAAUUCAAAGCCAUGAUCAUAUGUUUUAUAUGACUUGAUUACCUCCAGUUAUGAUUUCAUGAAUCGUGAAUGUGGUUUACUUAUCUAUUUGAUUGAUAACUUGUUCUUGUGUGUUAAUUAAGGAUGCAUACUUAGUUCGCAUGCAUGAAUUUGAUGCUAGAGUAUAAGGGAAUUUCACCUAAUCGUUAUUAACUUAUAUUCAUAAGUAGUAAAAGUCGCUAGUCACGAUUGUGUUAAGUAAAUCCUUGGCAAAAGUAACAUGCGUAUCCCAUAGUUAUGAAUGCUUCGUCAAUGCUUAUGAUUUCCAUUGAACUUAAUGAUCUUUGAUAUGUGUCUCUAUCAUGCGUAUUCCAUAGUUAGGGUCCUUGAUAAGAAUAAUUUGGUUGUAAUGCGUAUCCCAUUCAAUUCAAUGAAUCUAGGGAAAUCUGAGAAUUAAUUGGUCAAUCUAGUUAAUUUGGGGCAUUGUCAUUCAUGGUUUAUUGAAAGAGUAAUUGGAAAUCAAGUCGUAUGCAUAUGUUUCAUGUGUGGAGAAGGAACCUUCUAACUAGCCUUUCACCAUCUUAAUUUUCAUCAAAACGUUUUUGUCUAAGUUUGUUUUCAAAGUUUCUGUUUUCAAAGUUAAAUUCGUCCAAAAUCAAUCCCCCUUUACUUAGUUGAGUCAUAGUAGUUAGAAAUCACUUUAGUUUGUGUUUUUAAGUGUCUUAGGUCAAGUUAAAACCAAUUUUCGUCCAAGUUUGUGUCUAGUGUUCAAAACUGCCCAGAUUGUGGUUUUAAGGCAGUUUUGAGUGUUUUUGGGCUGUUUUGAGUCUUUUGGUUUGUUUUGGUGUUUUAAAGUUUAGUUUUGCAUUCUUUGAGUCUAGUUUAGUGUUUUAAACUUGUUUUUACGUAUUUGAGUCAGUUUUCAAGUGAUUUUGCAAUCCCUCCUAAUCCCCGGUUUAGAACGAUCCCUACUUACAUACUUUGCUACAAUUGAUAAAAAGAGGGUUAAUUUGAGUGUCAACAUAAUUUUCACAUCAAAUUUUGGCGCCGUUGCCGGGGAUUAGCAACUUUGCUAAUCCCUUGGAUUGUUAUUUUCGUUUUUCUUAGUAGAUCAGAUUCUUAUGUUAUUUUGUUUCUUGUUUUAGGUACUUGUUUAUGACCCGGAGUUCUAAUCCGGUUCACGAACAUAUUUUAGACUUUGACGACGAUUUUGAGCGUGAGUUGAGACGGAAGAGGAAGAACCCGGAACCUAGUAAAUCAAGUGCAAGUUCCGAGUCCGUUUCUGAAUUUGAAGAGGAAGUGGAAGACAUGGCAGUGGACAACCCGAACGAUCAAGGAGCUUUCCGCUUCGGGAUUGGAUAAUGCCGCACCUCUAUGUAUCCAAUACCCUAGGGCAGCUCCGAACAAAACUGCCGAGUUCGAAUUGAAGUCAAGCUUGUUACAUCACAUUCCGAAGUACCAUGGGUUGUCCAUGGAAGAUCCGAACAAGCAUUUGAAGGAGUUUGAAGUCGUUUGCUCAAGCAUGACUCCGGUGAACGUGGAUGAGAGCAUCUUGAAGAUGAAGGCCUUCCCCUUUUCUCUCCAAGAGAAGGCGAAAGAUUGGUUGUACGAAUUGGCUCCCGGAACCGUCACAUCAUGGGAGAGCAUGAAACGAGCGUACUUGGAGAAGUUUUUCCCAACUUCUCGAGUCAUCCUCCUACGAAAAAGGAUAAGUGGAAUUCAACAAGAUGAAGGUGAGUCGUUUCCUACAUAUUAUGAACGUUUUAAAUCUCUUGUUGCUUCAUGUCCACAGCAUCAAAUGAAGGAGGAACUACUUCUACAAUACUUCUACGAGGGACUUCUACCAAUUGAACGUCAAAUGCUAGAUGCCUCAGCGGGAGGAGCAUUGGUGGACAAGACCCCUACGGCUGCAAAGAUAUUGAUUGCCAAUCGUGCGUUGAAUGCCCAACAAUACGAAGGCGUUGGACAAAGGAGCAACCCACGGCAACACCAAAUCAAUGAGGUAAGUGCCAUAACCGAACUUCAAAAUCAAAUGGCUAACCUUGCUACUUUGCUUUCUCAGGUGGUGGAAGGUCCAAAAGUGCAAAACGUGGCAGUUUGUGGCAUAUGCUCCACGCACGGACACCUUACGGACAAGUGCCCACAAUUGAUAGAAAAUGGAGGGUGGGAGACCCUCAAUGCCGUGGGAUUUGGCAACCAAUACCAACCGAGGAAUGACCCCUUCUCUAAUACCUACAAUCCCGGUUGGAGAGAUCAUCCAAAUUUCAAAUGGCGAGAACCCCAACAAGGCCAACAACAAAGCACAUUUAGGCAACAACCCCCGGGUUUCUAUCAAAAGCCGUUUGCAACCACACAACCUCAAGCACAACCCACCCAAACCAAUUCAGGUUCGUCCAUUGAUAAUGAUCAGAUUUUUCAAUUACUAACUUCUAUGGCGCAGGGUAUGCAAAAUAGAGACAAAAGGAUGGAUGAGUUAGAGAAGCAAGUAGGGCAGAUUGCGGAGUUCAUGGGCCAAUUUCGAGAGCAAGGCAAGUUGCCAAGUUCAACUGUUGUCAAUCCGAGGGGAGGAGUCGAAACUGCCAAGGCCAUCAUGCUAAGGAGCGGAAAAGAAGUAAGAACCGAGCCAAAACCAUCCAAAUCUGCUCUCAAGGAGGACCAGAAGUUGCAAAUAGAAGAGGAGGAGCAAGCAAAAGCCACGGCAAGGAUUGAGCAAUCCUUGCCGCAACCACCCAUGCCAUCCAAUUCGGCCAAUAAGGGUAAGGAAGGUAUAAUUCAAGUUAAUUCUAAUGUUAUUCCUCCGGAUGUACCCUUUCCUAGCAGAUUUUUGCAAGCCAAGAACGAAGAAGAGGAAAAAGACGUUCUUGAGACGUUUAGAAAGGUGCAUGUCAAUAUCCCUCUCCUCGAUGCUAUAAAGCAAAUCCCGAAGUAUGCCAAGUUUUUGAAGAAGCUUUGUACGACAAGGAAACGGAUUCGGGAGAAAGAGGUGGUACACGUAAGUGAGAAUGUAUCGGCAUUGUUGCAAAGAAAGUUACCACCUAAAUGCAAAGAUCCAGGUAGUUUCACUAUCCCUUGUGUUAUUGGCAAUACGAGGUUUGAUCAUGCUAUGUUAGAUUUAGGUGCAUCUAUAAAUGUCAUGCCAUAUUCUGUUUAUGCAUCUAUGAAUCUAGGAAAGCUUAAAAAUGAUGGUGUUAUUAUUCAAUUAGCCGAUCGAUCUAAUGCAUAUCCCAAAGGAGUGUUGGAAGAUGUUUUGGUGCAGGUAGACCAUUUGAUUUUUCCUGCAGAUUUCUAUGUGCUUGAUAUGGAGGACUCAACCCACUCUCCACCAUCACCACUCUUGCUUGGACGACCAUUCAUGAAAACAGCUCAAACCAAGAUUGACGUGGCCAAGGGAGCAGUAACUAUGGCCUUUGGUGGUGAUAUGAUUAACUUUAAGGUUUCUGAAUCGGUAGAGAGUACUAAUGAUGUUCGUUCUUGUUGUGCUAUUAAUGUAAUUGAAAAUAUAGGGCAGGAAUGUUCAACACUAGUCAAGAAGAAUGUACCACAACCCACCAUCGAGGAAGGAAUUGGAGUGAACAACAAAGAGUGCACGGCCCCAACCUUGAAAUCACCAAAUCUGGCCGAGUGCACCCCUUGUGCAUAUAUCCAUAGUGCUACCACUUCUUUGCCGUACAAAGGUAAGCCACCUAUUCCAAUUUCGAUUCCCAUUUCGACUAAUAGGUUGUUACCUUGUAUGGUGCAGGUACCUAAUCGAAGACAACGUGGUGGGAGAGUUCGUGUUGAUUUAGAGAAGCAAAACAUGACAAUAAGAAAGGAUCAUUAUCCCAUCCCAUUCAAGGACCCAAAGAAUGAAGUAUUUCGUAGGACAGGUGGUGGAAAAACCCCUCCAUGCCGUGGGGUUCCAUAAACCUUCAAUGGAGCAUCGUCCGGCUGCAAGACGUUAAAGAAAGCGCUACUUGGGAGGCAACCCAUGCAUUCAACAAAGGAAGACCGAGAAAGCACUCCAAUUCCAGAUUUGCGUUCCUCAACUUUUCUCUUUGUUGUUUAUUUCGUUUCUGCCAUGAUUAGUGUGUUAGUUGCUGUUUGCUUGUUUAUUUGUUAUUUGUGUUAGUUUAUGCUUGAAACAUUGAGGACAAUGUUUGAUUUAAGUGUGGGGGGGUACACAAAGUGUUUUUGUGUCAAAUUCGUAGGAUUUUACCACCUAACAUUUCAAAGGUUGUUUUUCAUUGUUUUUAAGUGUUUUUAGAAAGUUUGGAUGUGUUUUUAUGUAGCUUUACCAAAAAAUCCGAAAAUUCAAGAAAAAAAUAGAAAAAGUUUUGAAAAAACCCAAAAAGAGUCGUUUUAAAGUUGUUUUUGUGUGUUUGUUUGUGUCUUAGGGUACCUUCCAACACAAUGAUGAGGAUUCGGUUUGUAAUUGCAUGAUUGUUAAAGAGAGUUAUAAACAUGGAUGAAAGUUUGAUUUACUCUUUGGUUUAUGCUUGGUUGUGGUUAUAACUUAUGACUUCACAUGUAAUCAUAAAGAAAAAAAUCAGUUUUUGUAACAUGCUUGAAGGAAGGAACUCAAACAAACGCUACAACCUUGUGAGACUUGAGCCUAAAUGUUUAUUUGGAGAGUUAAAAUCUGUGCAUUCUUGUUU
rnacentral:lncRNA from 1 species